ACAGUUAACCUAUCCGGAUGUCUCCUGCCAGGCCGGUCAAAGGUAUUGGGGGAUUAGAUCCCACAUAGAGUCAAACUAUGAAAGCAAGUGUCCCAUAAAGGAUAACAUGGCUUACCUCGCCAGCCGGACGCUGCGAGCUGAAUCCACGAUCUUCGGUAGCGGAUGCGGGAUCCUUGGCGCCCUUGAACAGCACCCUCCAGGCCUCUUCAUACGUAGUGUCGAAGAGCCCGCUCAAGGUCUGGUGCUGUGCCGGAUUAAACUCCCACAAAUUGAAGUUCCGCUGUUGGCAGGGGAGAAUCCGGCGGAUGAGCAUGACCUGGAUUACGUUGACAAGCUUGAGCUUCUUGUUCACCAGGGUUAGGAGACAGGAUUGAAGUCCGGUCAGCUCUUCCAUAUUACCCCACAGCAGGCCCUUCUCUUUCCAGGAAGUGAGCCGCAUGGGGAUGCCAGAUCGGAAUUCGGGGGCCGCUGCCCAUUUAGGGUCACACGGCUCGGUGAUGUAGAACCACCCCGAUUGCCACCCUUUGAUGGUUUCCACAAACGCGCCCUCGAGCCAAGUGACGUUGGGCAUCUUGCCCACCAUGGCGCCUCCGCACUCCGCUUGGCUGCCCUUCACAACCUUCGGCUUGACAUUGAAGGUCUUUAGCCACAAGCCGAAGUGAGGAUGGAUGCAGAGGAAGGCCUCGCACACGACGAUAAACGCCGAGAUGUUCAGGAUGAAAUUCGGGGCCAGAUCGUGGAAAUCCAGGCCGUAGUAGAACAUGAGCCCCCGGACAAAGGGGUGGAGUGGGAAGCCUAGUCCGCGGAGCAAAUGGGGAAGGAAUACCACCCUCUCAUGGGGCUCGGGGGUGGGGAUGAGCUGCCCCUCAUCGGGGAGCCAGUGCGCGAUGUCGCUGGACAAAUAUCCGGCGCAGCGCAGCUUCUUAAUGUGCCCCUCUGUAACGGAGGAGGCCAUCCACUUGCCUCCCGCUCCGAACAAGGCUGGAGAAGGUUGAGGUGAGAUGUGCAGACUUGGGCGCUGGAGCUCGAGUGCACGGAGAUGGAUAAGCAAAGGAGGAAGAAGGCGUAGGUAAAAAGGUGGAUCCUUAUCCCCUUAUAUAUGGGCGGACGAAACCAUGCGUCCCCACCAGCCUGGUAAAACUCGCUUAUCUCCCAAGCGCCACAAUCAAUGGCGCGGUUGGGUUACCCACGUCCGUAUUGAUGAGAAUCCCGGAAUAAGGGGACACGAUCUCUGCUUCGACAAGACGUGCCAAGGAAACCGCUUCGCUAAAUGCGCUGAGGUGGAAUAAUAAAAAUGAUUCGAGUAAAGGCUUGGUUGUGGUGUGACAUCACGCCACAAAAUACGUCAGCAGAUUGAACUUGUGUAAAUAUUAUUCUCUCUACGGUGGUAUGUGGAAUUUAUUUUGCAGAGUCGAACAAUAUCCUGGUGUUCACAAUCUUCUAUGAAUUAUUCGGAGGAGGAACCCGCCUUGCAAUGCCGAAGACAAUAUGCGCGCCGGACUCGUCGUCAUUGAAGCCUGGUUCAGGGGCUACUAAGGGAGUCCUGGACUAGGGGGUGUCUAGAUAGCCAAACUAUCAUCAUUGGCUGGACUCCAAGACUAUGACGAUACAAGAUUGAAGACUUAGUCCCCUGUCCGGAUGGGACUUUCCUUGGCGUGGAAGGCAAGCUUGGCGAUACGGAUAUGUAGAUCUCCUACCAUUGUAACUGACUCUGUGUAACCCUAGCCCUCUCCGGUGUCUAUAUAAAGUGGAGGUUUUUAGUCCAUAGGACACAUAACAAUCAUACCAUAGGCUAGCUUCUAGGGUUUAGCCUCCUUGAUCUCGUGGUAGAUCAACUCUUGUACUACCCAUAUCAUCAAUAUCAAUCAAGCAGGAGUAGGGUUUUACCUCCAUCGAGAGGGCCCGAACCUGGGUAAAAACAUCGUGUCCCUUGUCUCCUGUUACCAUCCGCCUAGACGCACAGUUCGGGACCCCCUACCCGAGAUCCGCCGGUUUUGACACCAACAACGAGACUUCCUACGCGAAAAUUGGGACAUCUUUGCCUAGCACCCUUCAGACAUGCCAGGAAUCCUACACCGACUGGCCGAGCACAGCCUAAACAUCAUAAAAGGAUUCAAGCCAGUCAAACAGGCUCUUUGGCGUUUCUCCGAACCCAAGAGACAAGCCAUGGGAGAGGAGCUAGCCAAAUUAUUGGUGGCCGGAUUCAUCAGAGAUAUAAAACAUCCAGACUGGCUAGCAAACCUGGUGAUGGUACCAAAGAAGGACAAAUCCUGGCGCCUAUGCGUCGAUUUUAAAGACCUCAACAAGGCUUGCCCAAAGGAAACCUUCCCCCUCCCCCGCAUCGAUCAAGUUAUCGAUGCUACCGCACGACACGAUUCAUUGUGUUUCCUCGACACAUACUCCGGCUACCACCAAAUUAAGAUGGCAGAGCCCGACCAGGCCACAACGGCAUUCAUCACCCCAUACGGCCCAUUCUGCUUCAACACAAUGCCCUUUGGGCUCAAAAAUGCCGGCGCAACAUAUCAGCGCAUGAUUCAGACAUGUCUGGCAAACCAGAUCGGCAAAACAGUGGAGGCAUAUGUGGAUGAUGUGGUCGUCAAAACCAAGCACGUCGAAACUCUAGUAGACGAUUUGAGGCUCACGUUCGAUAAUCUUCGAACAUAUGACAUUAAGCUUAACCCAGAAAAAUGUGUUUUUGGCAUACCAGCCGGAAAGCUCUUGGGCUUCAUUGUAUCCUGAAGAGGAAUUGAAGCAAACCCAGCCAAGAUCCGAGCUCUAUCACAACUGGAUAUCCCAAAGGACCUCAAACAAAUACAAAAAUUGACGGGAUGUGUGGCGGCGUUAAGCCGCUUAUCUCACGUUUAGGAGAAAAGGCAUUACCCCUUUAUCGCCUCCUCCGACGCACCGAACACUUCGAGUGGACGGAUGCCGCCAUGGCCGGACUCGAAGAAAUAAAAGCCAUAUUGGCAACAAACCCGGUCCUGGCCGCGCCCAACAUAGGCAAACCAAUGCUAUUAUAUAUCGUGGCAACUCAUCAAGUGGUGAGCAUGGUGCUCGUUGUCGAACGAGAAAAAGACGGACACAAGUUCCCCCUUCAAAAACUAGUUUACUACGUGUCCGCUGUCCUGACUCCAUGCAAGUCAUGGUACCCGCAUUAUCAGAAGAUAGCGUAUGCGGUGUUCAUGGCAUCCCGGAAGCUGCGACACUACUUUUAAGACUGUUCGAUAACAGUAGCCUCCAAAGUACCUCUUAAUGACAUUAUAAACAACCGCGACACGACGAGCCGGAUUGCCAAAUGGGCCAUUGAGCUCCUCCCAUUCGACAUAACCUAUAAGCCACGACGAGCUAUUAAGUCGCAAGUUUUGGCCGACUUCAUCGCUGAAUGGACUGAAGCCGAACUCCCUAAAGAGUACGGCGCAUAUUCCAACUGGAUUAUGCACUUCGACCGCUCAAAAAUGUUGGCUGGUCUGGGGGCUGGCGUCAUCCUAACGUCCCCAACCAGAGAUACGGUUCAAUACGUACUCCAAAUAAUGUAUACGGACUCCAACAACGCAGCAGAAUACGAGGCCCUUCUACAUGGCCUCCGGAUGGCAGUCUCCAUGGGCAUUCAACGUGUAGAGGUGCGCGGGGAUUCGAACCUCGCGAUAUCCCAAAUAAAUGGAGACUUCGAUGCCAAGGAUCCAAAAAUGGCAGCUUAUCACAACGCCAUCCUAAAAAUGUUAGCUCGGUUUGAGGGGCUCGAAUUUCACCAUAUAGCCCGGGAUAACAACCAGGCAGCAGACGUACUGGCACGCAUUGGCGCAAAGCGCGAUGCCGUCCCUCCCAACAUCUUCCUAGAGAGGUUGUUCAAGCCAUCCGUACUAUGGGAGGGUGUAAGUGCAUCUAGUGCCACCCCUAGUUGGUUUUGGAGUAUUGAUGACAAAGUUGGUUGAGGGACUAAUGCGUUUGUGAGAAUUGCAGGAUAACGCAGGUAGUGUCCCUUAUCGAUUCAGUUUACCUACCGGAGAUGACCCCUAAAAAUGUCUGAAGACAGUGAAGACAAUGGUGGUAUGAGAAGAUAUUCAUAUUGAAGACUAUGACAUGAGAAGACAUUGCAUGAAGACUAUGGAGCGCGAAGACUGUGUGGUUUCGUAGUUUCCUUUUCUUCUUUGUUGAGUCAUAGGAACCAUCGUACUGUUAAGUGGGGUCCAAGUGAACUAAGUCAGAGUGACUGAAGUGAUGCUCAACUCAAAUCCUAUGUCUUCGAGCGAAGACAAUGAGAGCAAACCUUAUCCAGAGUUGGAUGAGUCAGCUUUGCUUGUAGCCCAAGUAAAGUUGUCGCGUGUGUUUGAAAUCUGACCGUUGGAACACGUGUCAGUUCCUUAGUGACCCAGGGUCAUUUUGGACAAAUCAGGUUGGGUUGCCUAGUGGCUAUAAAUAGCCCACCCCCUAGACCAUAAAUUGGUGGCUGCUCAGAGUUUGUGCACGGCUUUUGUCGUUUGAGAGCAACCCACCUCGAAGCAUUUGAGAGAGAGAAAUCCUUGCGAGGACAAAGCCCAAACACCCAGAGCCAAAGAGUGUUAGGCAUCACUGAAGUCUUUCUGCCUGUGUGACCUGAAGACUUAUUACACUUGAGGACUGUGAAUCCUCCAGCCGGUUAGGCGUCGCGUUCUGAGCAUCCAAGAGUCAUUGUGGAUUGCCGGUGAACAAAGUCUGUGAAGGUUUGGAAGUCUCCCUUGAAGACUUACCAGAGUGAUUGGGCGAGGACUGGGUGUCCUUAGCUCAAGGGGAAUAAGGUGAAGACACGGUCUUCUGAGUUAAAUCUCAGCCUCCCUAACCAGACGUACAGUUGUCACAGCAACUGGAACUGGUCUAACAAAUCCUGUGUCUUCAACAAGCAACUGGUUAUAUCCCUUCCCAACCUUACUUAAGUUUGUCUUCAUGAAGUCAUUGCCUAUCUGUGUAUCUGUUUGACUUCAUUGCUUGACUACUACUGUUGAUUGGCUUCAUACUAUCUUCUAUCCUGAUCCUUACUACCUAGCUGCUAUUAGUCCUGUACUUUCACAUCAUUGCAUACUUGACUAUGGCUUGCUUAGGGUAGUUUAUCUUCCGCUGCAUAACAAUUAGAUCAUUUCUGUUGUUUGUCUUUGAAACUUCCAUGUUUUGAAGACUUUCAUAAAAAUCGCCUAUUCCCCCCCCCUAUAGUCGAUACUAGCACUUUCAAUUGGUAUUAGAGCAAGGUACUCCCUUGUUCUGUGUGAUUUGGUUUAACCACUUGGAGUUUCAGCUAUGUCGACUCCAGGGAUAAUCACGGUCUCCGUUGCUUGCCCCGUGUUCGAUGGAACUGAAUAUCCCUACUGGAAGAAUAAGAUGUGUAUGCAUCUUGAAGCCAUUGAUGUCGACCUCUGGUAUGUCGUCAAGAAUGGCGUUCCCAAAACUGGUGAAGGUGUCACCCCCACUGAUGUCAAGAAGUUCAUUCAACUGGACUCUACUGCAAAGAACAUCAUCUGUGGUCAUCUGACCAAAGGACAGUAUGGCCGUGUGAGUGCUCUAGAAACAUCGAAGCUAGUCUGGGACUGGCUAUCCAUGGUCAACGAAGGUGUCUCAACCCAGAGAGAUCAAAGAAUCAGUGUUCUUCACACGUCGAAGCUAGUCUGGGACUGGCUAUCCAAGGUCGAGAGAAACGACAAUGAAAAUGUCCAGCUCACGUUUGAUCGCCUCACUGAUAUCACAAAUUAACUUCAAGCUCUUGGCGCAACUGAGAUUACCAAGCAUGAAAUCGUCAAGACAUUGCUGAGAUCACUUGACAGCUCCUUUGACACCCUUGCCCUCAUGAUACAAGAACGUCCUGACUUCAAGUCACUCGAUCCGUCUGAUAUUCUUGAGAGGCUCAACACACAUGAGUUCUAGCUAUCUGAGAAAAGAGAUAUCUAUGGUCCAAACUAUGGCCGAACUCACGCUUUGAAGGCAAAAGUUGUUUCCUCAUCUGAAGAAGAAUCUGACUGCAGUUCUGAAGAUCCUGAAGACAUUGAAAAGGAACUUGCUAUGCUUGUGAAGAAGUUCCAGAAGUUCACUAAGAAGAAAGGCUUCAGAAAGUCUUCAUGAUCCAGCUCAAGGAAUGAUGAAGCUUCCACCUAUGACCACAAAAAGAGAACCUGCCACAAGUGCAAGAAACCUGGACACUACAUAUCUGGGUGUCCACAGUGGGACAAUGAGAAGAAGAAGAAGAAAAGCAAGGAAUAUGAUUCUGAUGACAAGAAGAAGAAGAAAUCCUAAAAGUCUUCUAAGUCUUCUUCCAAGUCUUCAUCAUACAAGAAGAGCUCAGCUGGCAAGGCUCAUGCCUUUGUUGGCAAGGAAAUGGAUUCAGAGGAGGAGUCUGCUUCUGAGGAGGCGGAGGUGGAGUCUGGAGAGGAGUCUGACCCUGGCGUUGCAAGUCUGGCUCUAGCCACAGCCUAUGUCGCCAAGUCUAUCUUCAACACUGAAGACAAUGACUUCCACACCAACGCUGAAGCUAAUGAUGAAGACGAUCCUACUCCCACCUACUGCUUCAUGGCACGUGGUGCCAAGGUAAAAUCACGUGAUGCUUACUUUCAAACUUCAAGUGAAGAUGACUCUGAUUGUGAAUCCAAACCCAGCUACAAAACACUUGCUAAAAUUGCAACUGAACAACAAAAGGCUAUGGAACAUACUCAAAUACUGUUAGACAAAAGCGAUGACCUGUUGGAUGCUGAAAUGACACGUUCACAGUCCUUAGUUGAUGACAUAAAAAAUCUUCAUGCUAAGUACCAAAAACUUGAAGGUCGUCAUGAAUCGCUCUCAACUACUUAUGAAAGGCUCUCCUAUGAUUAUCUUCAAAGGAAACAAGAGCUUGAGAAAUUGAGAGCGGCUCAUGAAGAUCUUCAACAGGUGAAUGAGUCACUUCGCGCUCAACAAAUCAGUUCCACUUAGGAUGGAUUUGAACCACCAUGUCUAAAAUGCAUUGAGUGUGAUAAUGCUACAUUUGUUGCUGAAUGUUCCACUGCUGCUACUAUUUCAUUGUCUUCACCUACUGAUGUGGUUACUAACCCCUCUGUGGAGGAUACCACUACUGUUGCUGAUGAAAAUGCUAUGUUGGAGACAUUGCUUGAAAUAGGGAUGUACAAAAGUUUGAAGGGACAUCAGACUCUCUGCAAUGUCCUCAAAAAGCAGAUUCUGAACCGAAACCCUAGGAAAGAGGGUGUUGGGUUCGAAAGGAAAAUGAAUGUUGAUGGCUCGUACUGGAAGCUUGAGUAGUACCCCAAAACCACAUGGGUUGCUGCAAAGGAACCUUCAGUAGAUCCAUCCACCUUAUCUGGCUUUACCUAUGCUAAUCCUAUUAUCAUUGAUGAAUCCUUUGAUGCAAACUAUAAGCUGUUCAAAAAUCAGAAUGGUGAAGUGUUUGCCAGGUACAUUGGUACUAACUGCAGGAAUGGACCACCUAUGAAGAAGAUCUGGGUACCUAAGCAGUACAUUGAGAAUCUUCCUGUGAAUGUCGUCAUGACACCACCAAGGAAGAAGACAAACCCCAGACCUAUAGCUUCAUGUGGCCCAAAGGCUUCAUACAGAUACAGGACUCACAUGAGUCACCCUAACGCCAAUGUUUUGCAGGGAAAUCAUGCUCAGACUUAUGAAUAUGAGCGUGUAUCUUCGAACCGCUAUGUUCAUAGGACUAAGAACUUUUCAGCUUAUUCAUAUGAGUAUCAUUCAUCUCCUGCAAGGCUAUUUGCUAGGGCUUCAAAGCCAAAAUUCUCAAAUGCUGCACUUAGACUCAUUGCUUCUAAGCCACCAUUGAAGAUGUGGGUGGCAAAGAAGAACUAACUCUCUUUUGCAGAAAACGGUCUCCAGCCAGCAAUCAAUGGCGUCCUAUACUAUUGCUGGGGACCUAAAACUCAUUUAGGACGCACGAUAAAAUGUCAUUCUAUAUACUUCACAUCUGAAUCUAUUAUCAGUCAUACUAUGUCCUAACUUUGAUAUAAGCUGUGAUUGUCCGUAUAUGUGUCAAAUGCUUAUGCUUCACAACACUCUUGUGAAGCCUAUCCUCCUAACUGCACUGUAGGGUACAUCACCAAAAGCUUCAGAAUGGAUUAUGGAUAGUGGAUGCACAAAUCAUAUGACUGGUGAUCGAAGUCUUCUCAUGGACUCAACCUUACGUCCAUCCGACACGAGUCACAUUACAUUUGCUGACACUGGUAAAAGCAAGGUAUUGGGUCUAGGUAGAGUUGCAAUCUCAAAGGAUCAACACAUGGAUAAAGUGAUGCUUGUUGAAUCCCUUGGUUUCAACUUAAUGUCUGUCUCAAUGCUUUGUGACUUGAACAUGAUUGUGAUAUUUGGCAAAUAUCGUUGCCUUGUACUAAUGGAAUCUGACAAAUCUCUAGUCUUUGAAGGGUAUCGAAAAGAUGAUCUAUACAUGGUAGAUUUCUCAGCAGGUCCACAGCUUGCCGUAUGUCUUCUCACAAAAGCUUCAGAAUGCUGGCUCUGGCAUCAAAGGCUAGGACAUGCUGGCAUGAGGAACUUACACUCACUCGUCAAGAAGAAGCAUGUCAUUGGCAUCGAGGAUGUCAAGUUCAAAAAGGAUCAUCUGUGUGGUGCCUGUGAAGCUGCAAAGAUGACAAGGGCAAAGCACCCCUCGAAGACAAUCAUGAAAACAUCUCAAUCCUUCGAGCUAUUACGCAUGGACUUAUUUGGACCUACUCACUACUCCACCCUCACAACAACUGCCUGUCUCUAUGGCUUCAUCAUUGUUGAUGUCUACUCAAGAUACACAUGGGUUCAUAUAAUUCUAUACAAGACUAAAGUGCAAGAUGUCUUCAGGCGCUUCUCAAAUCGAGCAAUGAACAACUAUGGCGUGAAGAUCAAGCACAUCAGAAGUGACAAUGGCACUGAAUUUAAGAACACCGGACUUGAUCUGUAUCUGGAUACAAUGGGAAUCACUCAUGAGUUCUCUGCUCCAUACACACCCCAGCAAAAUGGCAUCGUUGAGUGCAAAAAUAGAACCCUCACUGAGAUGGCUCGAACAAUGCUAGAUGAGUACAAGACACCAAGAAAGUUCUGGCCUAAAGCUAUUGAUACAGCAUGUAACAUCAUCAACCGUGUGUACAUCCAUAAGCUUCUGAACAAAACAUCUUAUGAGCUCCUUACUGGCAAGAGGCCAAACGUCAGUUACUUCAGAGUAUCUGGAGCUAGAUGCUGGAUCAAGGAUCCCCAUCACAAAUCAAAAUUUGCACCUAAGGCUCACGAAGGCUUCAUGCUUGGCUAUGGAAAGGAUUCACACUCCUACAGAGUCUUCAACCUUUAUCUCUACAAAAUCGUUGAAACUGUGGAUGUGAAAUUUGAUGAAACCAAUGGUUCACAGAGAGAGAUUCUGCCAAGUACACUUGAUGAAGCUCCUUCAAACGAGUCUAUCAAGCUGAUGGGAACUGGUGAAAUCAUGCCCUCUGAAGCACAGCCUGAAGAGGAACUUAUCAUCUCUGCACCAAAUUAACCUGAAGACAAUGCUCAGACCGAAGACAAUCCUCCCAAUGAUGACAAUGAUCAGCUAGAGCAAAAUCUUCGUCUUGUUCAUCCUCGUGUUGCAAAUGAAGUUCAAAUAGAGAAGAUAAUUGACAGCAUCAAUGCACCUGGUCCGCUCACUCGAUCAAGAGCAACACAGCUAGCAAACUUCUGUGGGCACUUUUCAUUUGUGUCAAUAUCAGAACCCAAGAAAGUUGCUGAAGCUUUUAUGGAACCUGAAUGGAUUCAAGCCAUGCAAGAAGAACUUCAAUAGUUCAAACUGAAUAAUGUCUGGGAACUCGUCAAGUGACCUGACCCUCGCAAGCAUAACAUUAUUGGAACAAAGUGGAUAUAUCGAAACAAGCAAGAUGAGCAUGGUCAAGUCGUCAGAAACAAAGCACGUCUUGUGGCUCAAGGAUAUACUCAAGUUGAAGGAAUUGACUUCGAUGAAACAUUUGCUCCUGUUGCUAGGCUUGAAGCUAUUCGCAUACUGCUUGCCUACGCUAAUCAUCACAACAUCUUGCUAUAUCAAAUGGAUGUAAAGAGUGCAUUUCUCAAUGGCAACAUUGAAGAAGAAGUAUAUGUCGCACAACCACCUGGCUUUGAAGAUCCAAAACAUCCUGAUAUGGUGUACAAGCUAAACAAAGCACUGUAUGGCCUCAAACAAGCUCCUCGUGCCUGGUAUGAUACAAUCAAAGACCUCCUGAAGAGCAAAGGCUUCAAACCUGGAUCCCUCGAUCCCACACUCUUCACGAAGACAUAUGAUGGUGAACUGUUUGUGUGCCAAAUAUAUGUGGAUGACAUAAUCUUCGGCUGCACCAACCAGAAGUAUAGUGAUGAGUUUGGGUACAUGAUGCAAGAGCAAUAUCAAAUGUCCAUGAUGGGUGAGCUGAAUUUCUUCCUUGGUCUUCAAAUUCGUCAGCAAGGAAAUGGCAUCUUCAUAUCUCAAGAAAAAUACCUCAAAGAUUGUCUGAAGAAGUUUGGAAUGAAGACUGCAAAGGCUACACGACGACAAUGCCAGCCAAACAACAUCUGGGUCCCGACGACAAUGGUAAAGAGUUCGAUCAAAAGGUAUACCGCUCCAUGAUUGGUUCUUUGCUUUAUUUAUGUGCAUCUAGGCCAGAUAUUAUGCUUAGUGUUUGCAUGUGUACUCGAUUCCAAGCGGCACCAAAGGAAUCGCAUCACUUAGCUGUGAAGCAAAUUCUUCGAUAUUUGGCUUACACCCCAACACUCGGAUUGUGGUAUCCCAAGGGCUCAAAUUUUGAUUUGGUUGGAUUCUCGGAUGCUGAUUAUGCUGGUGACAAGGUGGAUCGCAAGUCUACAUCAGGCACAUGUCAUUUUCUUGGUCAAUCACUUGUCUGUUGGUCUUCAAAGAAGCAGAAUUGUGUAUCACUCUCAACUGCUGAAUAUGAAUACAUUGCUGCUGGAUCCUGUUGUGCUCAGCUUCUAUGGAUGAAGCAAACUCUCAAGGAUUAUGGCAUCAACCUGAAACAAGUACAUCUCUUCUGCGAUAACGAAAGUGCCAUCAAAAUAGCCAACAAUCCAGUCCAACACUCGAAGUCAAAGCACAAUGAAAUUCGUCAUCACUUUCUCAGAGAUCAUGUUAUGAAGAAAGAUAUCGAUAUCAUUCACGUCAACACUGAAGAGCAACUGGCAGAUAUCUUCACGAAGCCCUUGGAUGAGAAAAGGUUUUGCAAGUUACGGUGUGAGCUAAAUAUCUUGGAAUCCUCUAAAGUCAUGUGAUCAGGCACACAUCCUAACACUUAUGCAUGUUGAUGACUUAGAUGUGCAACACACAAAGUAAUGUAUAUCUUCAAUCAAUGAAGAUUUACACUCUGAGUGUGAAUACAUUAACAUGGAAUAUGAGUUCGGAGCGCCACGAUAAUUGUGCGCCGUGUCUGGGUCUAAUACUUCCAAUACGGUGGGUAACGCCACCACCAACUUUCUCUGUUUGAAGUGUUUCACUCAUGGCGUUAUAUUGCAAUGACUUCGCAUUUGGUUUGUCUUCAGUUUCAAUUUAUCUUCAUGACUUUCUACACUAUGAUGAUUUGAUUGCUUUCUGAUAUAUAUAUAUAUAUAUAUAUACUAGUGUUCUGUCCUCUACAGCAUUCACUUAUAGCUAUGUCUUCAAGAUUGGAUCUUUUGAACUAAGUGAAUGUGAUCGGACCCUAACCUCUCUAUGCUUCCUAUCUCAAACUCUAUCUAUCCAAAUCAUAUGCAUUCUAUUGAAACUGUCAAAUGUCUUCUCUGCAUCCUAGUUAGCAGAAGGCAAAGAGACAAACAUUAAAUCUGUUUUAAAUGACUUAUCUUUAUUGUUGAAAUCCGGAGAAGCCGGAACAACUCUGAGUAUGUUGCAUGCUUGCCACGUACCCCUCAGAUGUGAACCGCCAGGGGCACCAGCGUAAUUGCACUGUGUCUCUCACCUACUUAUAAAUACUUGUCCCCUGCGGUAAAGAAAUCCUUCUUCCACCUCUCCACCUCCGUCAAAACCCUAGCGCCACCGCUAGCUCGCGACGACGCCGGCGACGAAGCACUUAGGUGCUGCGACUUCUCCAACGCUGUCCUCACGCCGGCCGCGGACAUCGUUCUCUCCGCCGUCGCCGUAGGUGUCCUCUGUCGCCAAGUUAAGGCACGGUGGGCUGAACUGCUCAAUCUCCUAUUCAUCCCAUCUAGCGGUUCUUCGUGCGGUAAAUAUAACUCUAGUUUUACCACCUUUUUGAUCUUCAAGAUUCAUCCUAUUUACCAAAAGUGGUUUCUGCCUAUUCAAUGUUAGAUCUAUUCUAUCUGCAUCUCAUACUGCCUAGUCAAUUCACUUAGAUUUCCUGUCUAGUUUGAUUCCUCACUUGUACUUAUUCACGGAUUGGUACAAAUCUGGAACCAACUCACCUAAAUAAGUGAAUGUCUUCGCAUCAUGAGGUCAAUGUCUUCAAACUGAUUUAUCUUCAAAAUCUUCUGAGAACGCAUAUGACCUCUUCCCCUUCCCUCGCAUCUCUAAUGCUGUCACAGGUACAUGUCCGUGGGAGAAUCCCUUGGUUCUCGUAGUCUGCAUUCGUUUGCAGAAUACUUACAGCAUCAUAUCAAUUCUCCUGAAGCCAGUUCCUGCUUGACCAGCAAGUGUAAGUCUCUGAAGCCUUUGAACGUAUUGAAGCCAUUCAGUUUGAAGUUCAUGGAUGCAGAAAAAUCAGCAAGGAAGGGUGGCAGACAGCGCAGAGAAGGAACAUCCAAAGAUCUGCCUGAUGACUUAGCAGAACUCUACAAGACAGAUCCCGAAGAGAAUUAUCAUCAGAGAAAGACGUGAAUCCAAUGGAUUCGAUGCUAUUGGGCUGAGGAAUGGUUCAAGUACAAGUUUGUGACGAAGGAAUAUGCAGAGAAGAAUGUCAUCAAAAGACCUUGGGGUGAUAUCCUCUAUCGAGGCCUUCAACCCAAGAACAGAGCUGAAGCCAUUGCUCAAGGCUUCUAUCCUUGCAUGGUCCAUGGACCACAGCCUGAGAACGCCGAUCCCACUUCACUACUCUCUCUUCAAGUGCAACUUCCAGUUUGCUGUGGCUUCGGCCAAGAAGAACAAGAAGUCAUUGGGAUUGGACUUCAACCCAGGUCCCUCUGCUCCCCGUGCUGACGGCUCCCGUGAUGCUGGUCCAAAUGUUAUCGGCCCCUUCUCCAACCUUGACGGCCUCAUCACCUACAUCGUGGUCCAAGGUGCCAGAGUAGAUCAUUCUGAAAAUGAUGCUGACUCCGAUGAAGCCCCUGCUCCUCCUCCAGAGCCGCAGAAGCAAAAGAAGCCAAAGGCUUCAAGAUCAGCUGCACCUUCGAAGACUUCUCAUGUGAAGCCACUGGCCACUGCACCUCCUGAAGCCAGUGUGUAGUCUGAAGAUCAAUCCCGUGUCUCCAAGAGAACGGAGAAGAAAAAGCAACUUGUCAGACCAUCUGAUCAAAGAGCCUUGACUCCUGCCGCCAUUCUGCAUGAAGAACCCAUUGAUCUGUCAAGCGAUGAAGAUCUUGCUGAUGAUGCCCUUGAGCAGCUGAUAAAGAGCAAGGAAGAAGCCGAAAUCUUCAACAACUUGCCUCUCUUUGAUGUGGCAAUCAUCCACAACUUCAUUGAUGAGUGGUUCGACACCCCCAAUCUCAGCUUUGAAGAUUUACAGCUUCCCAUUGGCCUCAGUGUCGCCUUCAAUGGCGCCAUUGCUUCUGAGCUAGCUCUCUCUCAGUGCAUCGUUGAGCUCAAGAACAAGAUUGAUUAUGAGAAGGCUCAAUUGAAGAAGCAUGUGGCCAAGCUAAGUGUUCAAGACGUCAGAAACUUCAAAGUCAUGCUACAUGAGCUUAAAGAAGCUUUUCUGAAGAAGCGUGAAGAAGCUCAAGGCUCUCGAGAGCGCAUGAAGAGUUUGGCUGAGAAGUGUGUGCUCGCCUACAAUGAGGCUGAGAAGCGCAAGUCAAUUGGCCGUCCUGGCAUUGACCCUAGGAUGGCUGCAAAGAAGAAGAAGAAGCUUCCUGCUGAUCAGCCUGAACCUUCAAGCCAAGAAGCCCCUCGCAUUAUCUUCCCAAGCAGCAUGACUGGCUCGAAGCCAAAGGUCACCACAACCGCUUCAGAACAGAAGAAGACGAGGGCCGCCGAGGCUGAAGCCAGAAAGAGAAAGAACACUGAAGCCUAUGAUGCCGCUCCCUCCAAGAAGAAGCGCAAGACCAAGAAGACUAGGGCUCCUUCCACAGAGCCCUUAGUUGUUGAACCCAUUUCAGUGGUUUGCCCAGCGUCAGAACAUCAAGAACGAAGGAUGAUAGUCCAUGAGCCUACUCCCACAGAGCCUCAUGAAGCUAAAGAUAUUCCAGCAGCUGAACCCACCGCUACUGAAGACAUUGGUCAUGAUGACAAUGUAGCUGAUGAUGAAGUUCUUCCUCAGAUCAAACAUGACGUGGUAUCAUCGCCUGUUCAUACGAACAGCAAACUCAUCAGCAUUGGUCGUCCUCUGACGCCAAUUGCUCAGUAUGCAUCGUGGGCUGAUCACCCACAACUACAAGACUCCCCCAGUACUCCCCAACAACAACAACAAGCUACACCCCCCGUGCAAGAAGAGGAUGAAGACUUUGAGGCCCAGCCAACUCCAUCUCCUAAGGCGUUGCCAGCAUUUCGCAGGCUUCGCAAAAGACAAAGGCCUCAAGUCCCUCUGUCGAGCGUUCCAGAAGAAGAAGUGCAACGUUCACCUGUUGCACGUCAAGUAUUUUCUGAACCUGCUCCAACUGUGAAUGUCUCCGAGUCUGAAGCACAUGUUGCUGAAGACAUUCCGGCUGCAUCAGCCAAGGAAAAUCAAGAAGAAGUACGUGUACCUACUCCCCCAGUAAUUGAAGAAGAAGCAGUUCCUGAUGUGAACGUGCCUGUGCCCGACCCUCCUGUUCGUCAAGAGGAGGUUGACAAUGUUGAGGCUGCCACCGCCAACACCAAUGAAGCCAAUGACAUAGUCAUGGCUGACGCUAAUGUGGAGCUUGCACCAACUAGUGUGCCUGAAGCAAAUGUGGCCACUGAACCUGAAACCACUGAGGCUGCUGCACCUGAAGCUAAUGAGACAACCGCUCCCAAAGCACCUAUUGUGCAGCCUGACACCUCAGCUGUUGCCCCUGCUCCUGUUCCGCCACCAAGGCCUCACACAAUUGAGCAAGCAUACAGUCAUGGUCAGCUUACCACUGUCCGAUGGCCCAUUCUGGUGCCUCUGCCUACUGCCUCAGGACCUCAAUUUGACUAUCAUGUUGAGCAUAGGCCUCAGGUCCAGAAGCCAAAGCCUAGGUUACCAAGGUUUCCAGGUACUGCAAACUCACCAGGGUCCUUCAAUGCAAAUGGCUUCAAAAGCCACAAUACCUUCUUUGACAGCACCAAGAACCCCUACUCCAAGCCAAGGAUAUCAUCAGAUCGGUUCUGGAGCUAUCAGCAGAGAAGCUAUUACUCCUCCGUUCUAUAUGAUCAAGGGCGCAUUUUCCCUCAUAUGCGCCUUGAUACUGAAGCCAUUGCUGGACUGCCGUGCUUAGAAGAAGCACUUGAUUGCUUUCGUGAUGAUGGUCUGCUGCACUUUGUGGCAGACAAAGAACAUUGGAAUGAAGAGCUAUUGCUUCAAUUCUAUGCUACUCUACACAUUCGCGGCUACUACAGAGACAUCAAGACAUGGGUUCUCGAGUGGAUGACUGGAAAUGUUCAUCAUGAAGCCAAAGCUAUGGAUAUCAUCGAGCUUACAGGGCUAGCCACUCCUGGAGAACUAUAUGAACCUGACUGUCAGCUACACCGCAAUGCUGUAGAGAGUAUCUUCCGUAAUCCAGAACCCAAUAUGAGCCAAAUGUUGAGCAUGAUGAAGCCCUUGCCAUCUGACGCUGAAUAUCCAACAGAUUUCUUUGUUGAAGACCUUGAGUAUCUGCCUCGCACCAUAUAUCAUAUCAUCAGGCGAACUCUAUGGCCUGUCAAAGGACAUUCAUCAGCGGCCAAGCUUGAAGGAGCUAUGAAGACUUUGGUCUUCUAUAUUCUCAAUGGCAUCAGCUUCAACACUCAAGAAUUCUUCAUCAGGCAACUUGCUGCUUCUGGCUCUGACUUAUUUGGUCUGAAGUUUUAUGCUCCAUGGGUCAUGCGCCUCAUCAAGAGACACUCAUCUGUCAAUUAUCAGCCCUCUACUCGCAAUCAUAUGAUCUUUCUGCCAGAGGUUGAUAUGUCAGUUGAAGAUAUAUACUCUGACCAUGCCAAGAGGCCUCUUUGUCUUCAGAAUGUCGAGCACCAAAGCUUCACUCAACCUAUUGAAGGUGUUCAAGCAGCGACACAAAUCUAUCCUUUGGCUGGAAACACUCGUCUGCCUCAUCAAGCACCCACUGAAGCCACUGAAAGCACCAUUGCACAACGGCCUCGGAAGCGUUCUCAUGUUCUCAAUGACCGAGAACUUCUUGUGGCCCUUCAUCAGAAAUAGGAUAAGCAUCAUUUCUGGCUCCAGAGACAGAUGCAAAGCCUCUUGGUGGAUGUCAAUCGCAUUCGCAACCUUGCCACCAAGAAUGCCUUUGUUGCUCAUGAAACUUGCCGGCGAUCAUGGAAGAGUUUGACCCUGGUCAGUGCUGAAGCUGAUCUUCAAGACGAUGGCUUCAAUGAAAGAUUCCAGUUUGACUCCACUCCUCCACGGACUACUGUCCUACGUCGCACUCCAUCUCUUUAAGACUCUGAAUAUUCUUCCUCCGCGGCAAUGGUAAAUGCCAGAGUGAUCGAUGAUGAAGAUGAUGCUACUUCACCACCUCCUACCACUGCGCGCAUCAACACUGCGCCAAGUUCAUCUGCACCGCCAACCAACAACGACAACCCUGCUGCUUCACCUACUCAUGAUGACGAGUAGAUACUCUAUGUCUUCAAACCUUUUUGGUCCUUACUGACAAAAGGGGGAGAAGCGUAUGAGUUGAUAGUCUUCAAGUGGGUUCAUAUGGGCGGUUGCAUUAUAUUUUGCUUCGUGCUUACAACUCUUGCCUUUUGAAACAUUUGGUUCUCUGAGUUGUAACACCUAAACUUGAUGGUCGUCUGCUACUUAUUUACUUCAUUGUGAUGCGAUGAUAACUUCCGCACUUAGAUCAUUCUCCAGACGUCCAUUCUUCAUUAUGCAUGUCAUUCUACUUGCUAUAUCAGUUCAUGCAUGAUGAAUUAUAUUCAUAAGUUGAAGUGGAUCUCCACAAGUACAACCUGCCAUGUGCAUUUGCAUUCCAAAAGCAAAUUACUUAUAUGCACAUCUUUAGGGGGAGCCCUUGCAAAUUAUGAAGACAAUUCCCUAUCCUUACAAUUUCACAUAUUUAUCCCCGUUGAAAACUUCAACCAGUUUAUCAUCAAUCACCAAAAAGGGGGAGAUUGUAAGUGCAUCUAGUGCCACCCCUAGUUGGUUUUGGAGUAUUGACGACAAAGUUGGUUGAGGGACUAAUGCGUUUGUGAGAAUUGCAGGAUAACGCAGGUAGUGUCCCUCAUCGAUUCGGUUUACCUACCGGAGAUGACCCCUAAAAAUGUAUGAAGACAUUGAAGACAAUGGUGGUAUGAGAAGAUAUUCAUAUUGAAGACUAUGACAUGAGAAGACAUUGCAUGAAGACUAUGGAGCGCAAAGACUGUGUGGUUUCGUAGUUUCCUUUUCUUCUUGGUUGACUCAUAGGAACCACCGUACUGUUAAGUGCGGUCCAAGUGAACUAAGUCAGAGUGACUGAAGUGAUGCUCAACUCAAAUCCUAUGUCUUUGAGCAAAGACAAUGAGAGCAAACCUUAUCCAGAGCUGGAUGAGUCAGCUUUGCUUGUAGCCCAAGUAAAGUUGUCGCGUGUGUUUGAAAACUGACCGUUGGAACACGUGUCAGUUCCUUAGUGGCCUAGGGUCAUUUUGGACAAAUCAGGUCGGGUUGCCUAGUGGCUAUAAAUAUCCCACCCCCUACACCAUAAAUUGGUGGCUGCUCAGAGUUUGUGCACGGCUUUUGUCGUUUGAGAGCAACCCACCUCGAAGCAUUUGAGAGAGAGAAAUCCUUGCGAGGACAAAGCCCAAACACCCAGAGCCAAAGAGUGUUAGGCAUCACUGAAGUCUUUCUGUCUGUGUGACCUGAAGACUUAUUACACUUGAGGACUGUGAAUCCUCCAGCCGGUUAGGCGUCGCGUUCUGAGCAUCCAAGAGUCAUUGUGGAUUGCCGGUGAACGAAGUUUGUGAAGGUUUGGAAGUCUCCCUUGAAGACUUACCAGAGUGAUUGGGCGAGGACUGGGUGUCCUUAGCUCAAGGGGAAUAAGGUGAAGACACGGUCUUCUGAGUUAAAUCUCAGCCGCCCUAACCAGACGUACAGUUGUCACAGCAACUGGAACUGGUCUAACAAAUCCUGUGUCUUCAACAAGCAACUGGUUCUAUCCCUUCCCAACCUUACUUAAGUUUGUCUUCGUGAAGACAUUGCCUAUCUGUGUAUCUGUUUGACUUCAUUGCUUGACUACUACUGUUGAUUGGCUUCAUACUAUCUUCUAUCCUGAUCCUUACUACCUAGCUGCUAUUAGUCCUGUACUUUCACAUCAUUGCAUACUUGACUAUGGCUUGCUUAGGGUAGUUUAUCUUCUGCUGCAUAACAAUUAGGUCAUUUCUGUUGUUUGUCUUUGAAACUUCCAAGUUUUGAAGACUUUCAUAAAAAUCGCCUAUUCACCCCCCCCCCCUCUAGUCGAUACUAGCACUUUCAGAGGGAGAAUCCGGACAUCAUAACCCGGACCCAUCUGCACUGCCCGACACCGAAAAUUCUGACACAAUUGGCGGUUCUGCCAACGAAGUAACAUCCUCAGCCCACAUAAUAAUGGCAGUCAUUGCCCCGUGGACGGAACCAUUCCUAGCCUACCUAACCAGGCAGGAACUUCCCGAGGACCAAAACGAGUCCCCUGCAUAGUGCGGCAAUCUAAAGCCUAUAAGGUCCAUGAGGGAGAGCUUUACAAGAAAAGCACAACCGGAGUCCUUCAAAGGUGUAUCUCCGAAGACGAAGGGCAGAACCUUCUGGCUGAAAUUCAUGCCGGACUCGGCGGGCACCACGCAGCAGCCCGGGCCCUUGUAGGCAAGGCCUUCUGUACAGGAUUUUAUUGGCCGACGGCCCGGGCAGAUGCUCAGGACUUAGUCAAAUGAUGCGUCGGUUGCCAGCUCUUUGCUAAUCAAAGCCACAUGCCACCCACCACCCUCAAAAUUAUACCGAUAACCUGGCCCUCGUGAUCUGGGGGCUUGACAUGGUUGGACCCCUUAAAGGAGGAACCCACAAGCAAAGAUACCUACUGGUCAUGGUGAAUAAGUUCACCAAAUGGAUAGAGGCCAAGCCUGUUAAGACGGCCGAAUCCGGACCGGUGAUAGACUUCAUAUCAGGGGUCGUACACCAUUACGGCGUCCCCCAUAGCAUCAUCACUGACAACGGCACGAACUUUACGGCCGACGAGGUUAAACUCUGGUGCAAAAACAUGGGCAUCAAACUUGAUUAUGCCUCAGUCUAUCACCCUCAAACUAACGGUCAAGUCGAGCGAGCAAAUGGUCUAAUCAUGAGAGGCAUCAAACCCCGAUUAGUGCGGUCCCUUAAGGAAUCUAACACGCACUGGGUAGAGGAGCUCAACUCUGUAUUCUGGGGGUUGCGGACCACUCCAAAUCGCACCAUCAGAUUUACACCAUUCUUUAUGGUAUACGACGCAGAGGCAGUUCUGCCCUAUGACAUAAUUCAUGACUCACCUCGCAUGCGCAUGUACGAAGAAAGAGAAGCCGAGCUCGAUCGGCAGGACAGUUUGGACGCAUUGGAGGAGGAGUGCGACGUGGCAAAAGCCCAUUCCGCAUUCUAUCAACAGCAAGCUCGAAGAUAUCAAAGCAGAGAAGUACGGGCCAAAACUUACAACGUUGGCGAGUUAGUUCUACGCUUGCCGGACAAGAAAAAUGACAAACUCAAGCCCAAAUGGGAAGGUCCCUUUAUCAUCGACUAAGUCCUGACUGGUGGAGCGUACCGUCUCCGAGAUGCACCGGAUAACUGACUUGAGCCGAACCCAUGGAACGCAGCCCGUCUCCGAAGAUUCUACGCCUAGAGCCGGAUCCUGAGUUUGUCUCCUUCCUCCGUCUAUAUUUUACACAUUAGUUGUCUUCUGUUUCUCUCCUUCUCCCCCCUUUCCUAUUACAGCCUUUGAAAGCUUGUUCGCGCAUUGUUUGCACACACUUGACGCACUAUCCGCGCUCAUUAUACUUGGGGGAUUCUUUAACAGAAGCUUAUUUAUACGGGCUUCAUGCCCAACACAUGUGUCACACUUCUGCAUGUACCUUUUAUUCACCAUUAUAUGCAUCGAUAUGACUUAAGUUUUGGACAAGGUGGGUUGCCUGGCUCCUGUGCUUACCCCUACGUUCCCGAUUGUUCGACUAGGCGAUAAAGGGAGCACCUCUACGAUUGUUACUGCCGGGUCAGCCGGAUAUGUACCUCAGACUGGGUGAAGCCGAAAGCUAGCAUUCUUAAGUUAAUAUUCGGUCGGUGAACGAAAAGGCGAUUUCUUAUCUAUUUAUUUAUCUGCCCCUAGAUGUUUUUCUGCUUUUUUCGCAGUCCGGACAUGCACUUUAGGGCAUGCCUCCCAGGGAAAGGAACCCCUAACAGAACUAUUCUCCUUGGAAGAUGUUUCUUACUAACCAUGUAAUAUAACAUAACUAGUUGGGCACUUGUCUGAUAAAGCACUAAUGACCCCUACGCCUAGUCUCCACGCAUGCCCCGGUUCUUAUAUAACCGCGAGGGUAUGCGGACACACUCCGGACUAUUGGGUCCCGAGGUUGAAGCGAAAAGGUCCGCUAUGACAAACGAUCUACAAUCCGGCUAGAAGGCAUUUUACAUGUCAUCUUAAAUUACAUAGUCAACUUGACUGGGCAUAUUCUUCUUCAAUGCCAUCCAGCAGGCUAUCUAGUUUACCGUCCUAUUGGGAAUACUUUGCGGCCAAUUCUACUUGGCUGUAAACUAAGCUCACAGGGAUCUCCUUCCCAUCGGGCCCCGCAGGUCCGACCUCGGCCAUGUGGUUUGGGUUAGCCUUCGUGUACCGCGUCUUCACCAUGGCCCAGGCCUCCCUGGCGCCUUGACGGUAGGCCAAUAUCUUCCAUAAGCGGAAGCGCUGCCGCACUCCCUGAAGCCUCUCUGCAAGCUCUCCAAGGCCUUCGGGCAGGGAGACAGAUGGCCACAAGGCCUGGGCGACGCCUUUCAUCACCUGCCGAACUCGUUCGUGCAGUUACGAGAGCUCGGGAAGAAGGUCACCCGUAGAAAUGGGCAUUUCCUCUGCAGGACGGCCUGUGAGCAUACCUACAGACGUAACUCUGUUAGUCGACUUCCUUGCCGAACUCUUUUUCAAAGUUCGUUCAAGCACUUACUAAAAAUGCCGCAUCGAAGCCGCCGAUUCUCCUUAACGGAGUCAGAUAGCUGGCCACGAACAUCCUUUAGUUCCUCACCCAGCUGGGUGUUGGCAUCUUGGAGAUUAUUUUUCUCCUGCCUCACCCUUGUAAGCACAUUCUCGCCGGCCUUUAAACGGCGCAUGAGCUGUUGCUUGUCCGGAUCCAUCCCGGCGCCAUAUGCAAUAUUAUUGUCAGACUUAUACACACGUCGCACUUCACAAAUUGCUUAUGUUUUGAAGCAUAUAUUACCAGAGGGAGUCUCUUUGGCUUCCCCCGCUGCGGCUAGCAUGGCCUCAAGUUGGGCUUUGCACUCAUCCAGCUCCUGGGACAGUUGGGUAUUCUUUUCAGUAAGAUCCUGCACAAUAAAUUAUCCUUAAAUCGGUUAUUCUUACUAUUUCAAGUCUCGGGGGCUACUGGCAUAUAUAACUGUCAAAUUUUCUCACCCGUAUGUCUUUUACAUACUGCUCCAUGGCUCUGGCUAGACCAUUUUGAGCGAUACGGAGGUGCGGAUCUCCCGAAUUAAAGGCAUCCAAUGCCUCUAGGGAGAAACACGCGUCACGAAGAACUAUCCGGAGGCGCCUGUGAUUCAUGGCACUCUCCACCUCGGAAUUGGUGGCAGAUAACCUGUCGGCAUCCUCUGUCGGAGGAACAUCCGACGCACACCCCGUGUUCGUCUCCGCUUCUGGACCUGGCUUUGGAGCCUGGCGAGCGGAGGAUUGAUUGGCAACCUCUCCGGAUAUAGUCCGGCGAGCGCUCUUCUUCCUGAAAAGGUACGAACGUUAGUAUGCCUCCUGGGAAUAAAGCCGGGGAGUAAGGUGACGCGCCAUACCCUUGCACCGGAGUUUCGAUCUGGACCGCACUUCUUUUUAGCCUGCUAGGCCGUGCUGCCCCUUGCUGGUUAGCCGCCACGGGCUCGGCCUUCCGCCUCAAGGGCGCCCCCUGCGAAACACCAUCGGUAUAUGGUGAUCAAAAACACGCAUGGAUUGGUCAUUUUCCAAGUAUUGGGACUUCGGUCUCAGUUACCGGCGAAGCGGGAAGUAUUCCGGGGUAAUCGGCCGUAAUGGUGACCAAGGCAUUAUCGAUGCUCAGUUGGUGGAAAACCCCGUCGAUCAGCUCCACAGAUAUGUCCAGAUCCUCUUGGGAGGUCGGAUCGAGGAACCGUUCCGGAUCCUCGGGUUGUGGAGGCGGGCUGUUUAUAUCCUUUACGGCCCGGCGCAGUUCCUGCGCCAAAAUCACAAAAUGAGAUACUUGACUAUGGGAGUACGGAUCGGAUAGGCAAAAAUAGAUGUCCGCUUACCCAGCUUGGAGGAUUGUUCAUAGAAAAUCCGCCCUGCGGAUUGAUGCGGAUGAAUUCCUCCUCUUCUCCCUUGUACAAUGCGGACAAGAUCUUCAUCAGAUCGGCGACCAAUCCCGGCCCCUUAUGGCCACAGCGGGUGGCAUCAUCCUCCCUGUUGAAAUCCCACAUGGGGUGGCCUCUAUACUGGAGUGGCUGCAUCCCCCGCAUAAUGCAUGUGGCCAUGACCCCGAUCAUGGUCAGUCCGGAAUGAGCUAACAACCUUAUCCGGCUCAUUAGGUAAAUGACAUCCCUGUCGUUUUCCCUCUGAGGGCUCCAUGGAUGCCAGCUUAGGCGUUUCUUCAAAGGAGCAUUAUUAAACUCAGGGAGGCCGACCCGAACAGGGUCCGGCAGGGGGACAUCUUCUAUAUAAAACCAUGUCGAAGGCCAGUCUUCGGACGCCUUCUUCGGGGUUCCGGAUAGAUAUACGGUCCCAGCGAUGCGCCAUAGUUCGGCUCCGCCCACUUGAUAUAUUGACCCCUCUUGAGAACGGGGCACAAGGAAGAACAGCUUCUUCCACAUCGCAAAAUGAGCCUCGAGGCCCAAAAACAGCUCACAAAGGGCCACGAAGCCCGCAAUAUGCAAAAUGGAGGCAGGCGUAAGGUUGUGCAACUGGAGGCCGUAGAACUCCAGGAGCCCCCGGAGAAACGGAUGAAUUGGAAAUCCGGGCCCUCUUAUCAAAUAAGAGACAAGUUGGAGGGGCUGGGGACGCUCUCCGCUUGCUUUCCGCCCUUAUAGGUGGCGAGUCCGGCUUGAACCGGAACCAUGAAGGCUGGGGGAAGAAAUCCCUUGGUUUGGAGCGCCACUAGCUCACUGUGCGGGACGGAGCAUCUCUCCCAGUCUCCCGGCUGUGGGCUGGGAGGGCGAGAGGAGGAGCCGCGUCGACUGUCCAUGAUGGAAUGGAUUUCUGUCAGAUGCGCUCUGAUGAAUGCUCGUGAAGGGAGGAUGGUGUGAUUCGGAUCUAGAUCCUCGUCUCUUUUAUAGGCAGCUCAUCUGCGCAGCUAGAGGGAUAAAUGUAAAAAUACCCUGGCUUUUCGCAUUCGUUCGACACGUGGAAGAUGGCCAUUAUUGGGAGUGGAAAUCGAGGAGCACAAUAUUUACAAGAAGCCGGACGCUAUUCAACAGGUACACAGGAUUUGGAGAAUAACCCGCCUUGCAAUGCCGAAGACAAUCUAUGCGCCGGACUCAUCGCCAUUGAAGCCUGGUUCGGGAGCUACUGAGGGAGUCCUGGAUUAGGGCGUGUUCGGAUAGCCGGACUAUAACCAUUGGCCGGACUCCUGGACUAUGAAGAUACAAGAUUGAAGACUUCGUCCCGUGUCCGGAUGGGACUUUCCUUGGCAUGGAAGGCAAGCUUGGCAAUACGGAUAUGUAGAUCUCCUACCAUUGUAACCGACUCUGUGUAACGCUAACCCUCUUCGGUGCCUAUAUAAACCGGAGGGUUUUAGUCCGUAGGACGAACAACAAUCAUACCAUAGGCUAGCUUCUAGGGUUUAGCCUCUCAGAUCUCGUGGUAGAUCUACUCUUGUACUACCCAUAUCAUUAAUAUCAAUCAAGCAGGAGUAGGGUUUUACCUCCAUCGAGAGGGCCCAAACCUGGGUAAAAACAUCGUGUCCCUUGUCUCCUGUUACCAUCCGCCUAGACGCACAGUUCGGGACCCCCUACCCGAGAUCCGCCGGUUUUGACACCGACACCGUUCUUACCACUUCUUUCAUUUUCGGAUUUAACUGACAUUGGUGAUCAACAAUGGGUUUCGCACCAGGUUCCAUAUUAAUCUUGUGCUGACAUAGAGUGGGACUAAUGCUCUUAAGAUCAUUAAGAGUAUAUCCAAUAGCAGCCAUGUGCUUACUUAGAACUUUCAAUAAUCUUUCUUCUUCAUGUUCUGAAAGGUUAGCACUAAUAAUAACAGGAUAUAUCUUCUUUUCAUCAAGAUAAGCAUAUUUCAUUGUAUCUAUUAAUUGUUUUAAUUCAAACAUAGGAUCACCUUUAGGUGGAGGAGGACCUCCUAGAGUUUCAAUAGGCAAAUUGUGUUUAAGCAGAGGUUGUUGUUGGAAAAAGAUUCUAUCUAUUUCAUUUCUUUCACGCAUAUGCAAAUCAUUUUCAUAGUCUAGCAAAUAUUGUUCCAAAGGAUCAGUAGGAGGCACAACAAUAGAAGUAAGACCAAUAAUUUCAUCCUUACUAGGCAAAUCUUUCUUAUGAGGUUGUUUACUAAACUUGGAAAAAUUAAAUUCAUGAGAUUCAUCACCAAAGCUAACACCGAUAUUUGUUUCUCACAAUCUAUUUUAGCAUUGACGAUGUUCAAGAAAGGUCUACCAAAAAUAAUGGGACAAAAGUCAUCUUGUGGGGUGCUAAGAACAAGAAAAUUAGUAGGGUAUUUUAUUUUCACACACAUGACUUCAGUAUCUCUAAGAAUCCCAAUUGGUGAUAUAGUAUCUCUAUUAGCAAGUUUAAUAUUAACAUCUAUGUCUACUAUUUCAGCUAGUGCUAUUACAUCUUUAAUUUCUUGAUAUAAGAAGAAAGGAAUAGCACUCACACUAGCACCUAGGUCACAUAACCCAUGAUAACAAUGAUCUCCUAUCUUAACUGAGACAACAGGCAUGCCAACAACUGGUCUAUGUUUAUCUUUUCCUUCAAGUUUGGUAAUUCUAGAAGCUUCACUACAGCAGUAGAUAAUGUGCCCAUCAAUAUUAUCAACUAAGAGAUCUUUAACCAUAGCAACACUAGGUUCAACUUUGAUUUGUUCAUAUGGUUUUAGUGUUCUAGCAUAACUUUUGUUAACCACAGUUGAAGCUUUAACAUGUUCCUUCGUCCUAACAGGAAAAGGUGGUUUUUCAAUAUAAGAAGUGGGGACAACUGGAUCAACAUUGUAAAUGAUAGUUUCUUCUUUAGCUUUUACCAGUUCUUUAAUUUCCUAUAUAAUUGGUUGGUGAUAUUUAAACCACUUCUCCUUAGGGAGAUCAACAUGAGUAGAAAAAGAUUCACAAAAGGAAGCUACUAUCUCAGAGUCAAGUCCAUAUUUAGUGCUAAACUUUUGAAAAGCAUCGGUAUUCAUAAAAGAUUUAACACAAUCAAACUUAGGUUCAAUACCUGACUCUUUACCUUCAUCGGGUUCCCAAUCUUCAGAGUUGCGUUCAAUUCUUUCUAAAAGAUCCCACCAGAAUUCAAUAGUCUUCUUCAUAAAAGAACCAGUACAAGAGGUCUCGAGCAUGGAUUGAUCAUUACGAGAAAGCUGUGCAUAAAAAUUCUGAAUAAUAAUUUCUCUUGAGAGCUCAUGAUUGGGGCAUGAAUAUAACAUUGACUUAAGCCUCCCCCAAGCUAGAGUGAUACUUUCUCCUUCACGAGGCAAAAAAUUAUAUAUAUAAUUCCGAUCACGAUGAACUAGAUGCAUAGGAUAAUUUUUUUGAUGAAAUUCCAAUUUCAAGCGGUUCCAGUUCCAAGAUCCAAUAUCAUCGCAUAGCCUAUACCAUUUCAAUGCUUUUCCCUUCAAAGAUAAAGGGAAAACCUUCUUAUUAGCUUCAUCUCUGGGCAAAUCUGCAAGCUUAAACAAUCCAUAAAUUUCAUUCACAUAUAUCAAGUGCAUAUCAGGAAGUUCGGUUCCAUCUCCUGCAUAAGGAUUAGCCAGCAGUUUCUCUAGCAUACCCAAAGGAAUUUGAUAUUGAAUAUUUUCAAUAGGUGCAGUAGGUUGAGGGGUAACUAAUUGUGGUUCCGGUCAAGGUGAAGAUACCCCAAACAAACCUCUCAAAGGAUUGUUUUCCCUAGUAGCAAGUGACAAUAAAUUUCAGCAUGUAGUAAUAAUGUUUCCUUACCAAUUUCCACAUACCAAGAGCGCUUCACUCCCCGUCAAUGGUGCCAUAAAAUUGCCUUGAUGACCCACAAGUAUAUGGGGUCAAUUGUAGCCUUUUUCGAUAAGUAAGAGUGUCGAACUCAACGAGGAGCAGAAGGAAAUGACAAGUGGUUUUCAGCAAGGUAAUGUCUUCAAGUGCUAAAAUUGUGAGUAGCAGAGUAGUUUGAUAGCAAGAUAAUUUGUAAAGAGCAAGUAACAAUAGUAGUAGCAAAAGUGAAGCAAGGUAGUCCAAUCCUUUUAAGGCAAAGGACAGGCCAAAACGGUUUCUUAUGAUAAGCAAAGUGUUCUUGAGGGUACACGGGAAUUUCAUCUAGUCACUUUCAUCAUGUUGGCUUAAUUCGUGUUCGGUACUUUGAUAAUUUGAUAUGUGGGUGUGAUACGUCUCCAAUGUAUCUACUUUUCCAAACACUUUUUCCCUUGAUUUGGACUCUAACUUGCUUGAUUUGAAUGAAACUAACCCGGACUGACGUUGUUUUCAGCAGAACACUACUAGGAAAAGGGCUAUAGAUAGGAUGGACUCUAAUGGCGCACUGUACAUGUGGUGUGCCAUUACUAAAUACUAAUGGCGCACCAUGUGUUGGUGCGCCAUUAGUGUGCAAAUACUAAUGGCGCACCACAUCCUACGGUGCGCCAUUAGUAAAAAAGUUUUUUUUAAUUUUUUCAAAACUACUAAUGGUGCACCGUGGGGGUGGUGCGCCAUUACUAGUUUGACAUAGUAAUGACGCACCACACCCACGGUGCGCCAUUAGUAGUUUUGAAAAAAAAAAUCAAAAAAAUAAAAAAAAUUGUUAGUAAUGGCGCACCAGCGGACAGUGCGCCAUUACUAGUUUUAACUAGUAAUGGCGCNNNNNNNNNNNNNNNNNNNNNNNNNNNNNNNNNNNNNNNNNNNNNNNNNNNNNNNNNNNNNNNNNNNNNNNNNNNNNNNNNNNNNNNNNNNNNNNNNNNNNNNNNNNNNNNNNNNNNNNNNNNNNNNNNNNNNNNNNNNNNNNNNNNNNNNNNNNNNNNNNNNNNNNNNNNNNNNNNNNNNNNNNNNNNNNNNNNNNNNNNNNNNNNNNNNNNNNNNNNNNNNNNNNNNNNNNNNNNNNNNNNNNNNNNNNNNNNNNNNNNNNNNNNNNNNNNNNNNNNNNNNNNNNNNNNNNNNNNNNNNNNNNNNNNNNNNNNNNNNNNNNNNNNNNNNNNNNNNNNNNNNNNNNNNNNNNNNNNNNNNNNNNNNNNNNNNNNNNNNNNNNNNNNNNNNNNNNNNNNNNNNNNNNNNNNNNNNNNNNNNNNNNNNNNNNNNNNNNNNNNNNNNNNNNNNNNNNNNNNNNNNNNNNNNNNNNNNNNNNNNNNNNNNNNNNNNNNNNNNNNUUUUUAAAAAAUAAAAGCAAAUGAUGAAAUGUCAAAAAAAUAAAAGAAAAUAAGUUUCCCAUGUAAUAUGUGGUCUAGUUGUUGGGAAAAUUUAGAAAUAUGAAUUUCGACUUUAUUUGCAAAAUCUCUUUGGAAAUUUGUAAAAUGGGCAUAACUUUUGCAUACGAACUCGGAUUAAAAAGUUUUAUAUAUGAAAAAGCAUCUACUCGAAAAGUUACAUCCGAAUUUAACCGGGGAAACCCCGUUAAACAUUUUCAAAAUCCCCAAAAACCUAACAGAAAAAAGUUACGGGGCUUUCAAGAUCUAGAGGCAAAAAAAUUCAAAAAAUUUCAAAAAUAUUGGUUUUGAAAAAAAAAUUGAAUUGUUUUUCAAAAUAUGAUACGUAAUAUGACGGGAAAGUAUUUUUCAAAAUUUCAUCAUAGUCAUGAACAUGAACAAAGUCCUAGACAUCAACAAGGUAUAAUAGGAUUGAUAUGCUAGAUAUAUCAACAAGUGCCUGUGAAGUGAGUUGUUGCUGGGGUUGGAUAAAACUCUGAAGUUAAGCGUGCUUGGGCUGGAGUAGUGUGAGGAUGGGUGACCUUUUGGGAAGUUUGACCAUGGAGUGCGAUUUGACCUGAAAUUAAGCAUAUUGACCCGAGAUUAAGCCAUAGUGACCUGAGAUUAAGAAAAAAAUAAAAAAAUAAAAAAAAUAAAAAAAAUUCUAAAAAAAAUUUGAAAAAAAAUUGUUACUAAUGGCGCACUUCUAUGUGGUGCGCCAUUACCCUGGGAGGAAUUCUAAUGGCGCACUGUGGGCAAUACUAAUGGCGCACUACGUGGUGCGCCAUUAAAACACCAGAUACUAAUGGCGCACCAGUGGUGCGCCAUUAGAAUUUAAUUCUAAUGGCGCACUACGUGGUGCGCCAUUAAAACACCAGAUACUAAUGGCGCACCAGUGGUGCGCCAUUAGAAUUUAAUUCUAAUGGCGUGAUGCUAGUGGCGCACCAGUAGUGCGCCAUUAGAAGGCAAAACUGGUGCGCCACUAGCAUGCCUUUUCCUAGUAGUGGAACUGCCAUGAUGUUGUUUUAUGUGUAGAAAGCAAAAGUUCUCGGAAUGUCUUGAAAAUCCACGGAGGCACGUUUUGAAAAAUACAAAAAAAUACUAGCGAAAGAACCAAGACCAGGGUCCCACACCCUAUCCACGAGGGUGGGGGGCGCCCCCUCCCCGGGGGAGUGCCCCCCUGUCUCGUGGGCCCCUGGACCUCAACCGACCUCAACUCCAACUCCAUAUAUUCACGUUCGGGGAGAAAAAAAAUCAGAGAGAAAGUUUCAUCGCGUUUUACGAUACGGAGCCGCCGCCAAGCCCUAAUCUCUCUCGGAAGGGCUGAUCUGGAGUCCGUUCGGGGCUCCGAAGAGGGGGAUUCGUCGACGUCGUCAUCAUCAACCAUCCUCCAUCACCAAUUUCAUGAUGCUCACCGCCAUGCAUGAGUAACUCCAUCGUAGGCUUGCUGGAUGGUGAUGGGUUGGAUGAGAUUUACCAUGUAAUAAAGUUAGUUUUGUUAGGGUUUGAUCCCUAGUAUCCACUAUGUUCUGAGAUUGAUGUUGCUAUGACUUUGCUAUGCUUAAUGCUUGUCACUAGGGCCCGAGUGCCAUGAUUUCAGAUCUGAAUCUAUUAUGUUUUCAUGAAUAUAUGUGUGUUCUUGAUCCUAUCUUGCAAGUCUAUAGUCACCUAUUAUGUUUUAUGAUCCGACAACCCUGAAGUGACAAUAAUCGGGAUACUUCUCGGAUAUGACCAUAGUUUGAGGAGUUCAUGUAUUCACUAUGUGCUAAUGCUUUGUUCCGGUUCUCUAUUAAAAGGAGGCCUUAAUAUCCCUUAGUUUCCACUAGGACCCCGCUGACACGGGAGGGUAGGACAAAAGAUGUCAGGCAAGUUCUUUUCCAUAAGCAUGUAUGACUAUAUUCAGAAUACAUGCCUACAUUACAUUGAUGAACUGGAGCUAGUUCUGUAUCACCCUAUGUUGUAGCUAUUACAUGAGGAAUCGCAUUCGGCAUAAUUAUCCAUCACUGAUCCAAUGCCUAAGAGCUUUUCACAUAUUGUGUUUCACUUAUUUACUUUUCCGUUGCUAUUGUUACAAUCACUACAAAACCCAAAAACAUUACUUUUGCCACUGUUACCUUCAUUAUCAUACUACUUUGCUACUAAAUACUUUGUUGCAGAUACUAAGUUAUCCAGGUGUGAUUGUAUUGACAACUCAACUUCUAAUACUCAAGAAUAUUCUUUGGCUCCCCUUGUAUCGAAUCAAUAAAUUUGGGUUGAAUACUUUACCCUCGAAAGUUGUUGCGAUCCCCUACACUUGUGGGUUAUCAAGACUAAUUUCUGGCGUCGUUGCCGGGGAGGUCUUCGCUCAAGUCAAGACAUACCAAGUACCCAUCAAAAACUCAUCUCCCUCGCAUUUACAUUAUUUGCCAUUUGCCUAUCAUUUUCCUCUCCCCCACUUCACCCUUGCCGUUUUAUUUUCCCUCUCUUUCCCAAUCUCCUCCUCUCUUUUCGCUUGCCUUUUUCUGUUUGCUUUUAUGUUGGAUUACUUGUUGCCAUGGUGCAAGAUAAUACCAAAUUGUGUGAUUUCUCGAAACCAAUAAUAAUUAUUUCCUCGGUAAUCCGAUUGCUCCUCUUAAUGAUGUUGAAUCUUGUGAAAUCAAUACUGCUUUGCUGAAUCUUGUUAUGAAAGAUCAAUUCGCUGGCCUUCCUAGUGAAGAUGUCGCUACUCAUCUAAACAACUUUGUUGAUUUGUGUGAUAUGCAAAAGAAGAAAGAUAUAGAUAAAAAUAUUGUUAAAUUGAAGUUAUUUCUGUUUUCACUUAGAGAUCGUGCUAAAGUUUGGUUUUCGUCUUUGCCUAAAAAUAGUAUUGAUUCUUGGAACAAGGGCAAAGAUGCUUCUAUCUCUAAGUAUUUUCCUCCCGCUAAGAUUAUCACUCUUAGGAACGACAUUAUGAAUUUUAAACAACUUGAUCAUGAGCAUGUUGCCCAAUCUUGGGAAAUAAUGAAAUUGAUGAUUCGCAAUUGCCCUACUCAUGGUUUGAAUUUAUGGAUGAUCAUACAAAAAUUUUAUGCAUGUUUGAACUUUGGUUCUAGAAAUCUCUUAGAUUCGACCGUGGGACGCACGUUUAUGGAAAUCACGUUAGGAGAUGCUAAAAAACUUCUUGAUAAUAUUAUGGCUAAUUAUUCUCAAUGCCACACCGAAAGAUCUUCUAGUAGAAAAGUGCAUGCUAUAGAAGAAAUCAAUGUUUUGAGUGGAAAGAUGGAUGAACUUAUGAAGUUGUUUGCUACUAAAAAUACUCCUCUUGAUCCCAAUGAUAUGCCUUUGUAUAAUUUGAUUUAGAAUAAUAAUGAAUCUAUGGAUGUGAAUUUUGUUGGUAGGAAUAGUUUUGGAAACAAUGCAAAUAGAGGAAACUUUAAUUCUAGACCGUUCCCUAGUAAUUCCUCUAAUAAUUAUGGAAAUUCCUACAAUAAUUCUUAUGGCAAUUUUAAUAAGAUGCCCUGUGAUUUUGAGAAUAGUGUGAAAGAAUUUAUGAUCUCUCAAAAGAAUUUUAAUGCUUUGCUUGAAGAAAAAUUGCUCAAAGUUGAUGAUUUGGCUAGGAAUGUUGAUAGACUUUCGCUUGAUGUUGAUUCUCUUAAACUUAGAUCUUCUCCUCCUAAGCAUGAUAUCAAUGAAUAUCUCAAAGCCAAGAGAAUUUCCAUUGAUGAUUGCAAGGAAAGAACCGCUAGAUUGCGUGCUAAGAAAGAUUGCUUUGUAAAGGCGUGUUCUUCUAGUUUCCAUCAAAAUAAUGAUGAAGAUCUUAAAGUUAUUGAUGCGUCUACUAUUAGAUCUUUGUUUUGAAAUAUGAAUCUUGAUAAUUAUGGGACUGAUGAUGAGUCAACUUUACCUAAAAGGCGUCCCAAGAAUUCAGAGUUUUUAGAUCUUGAUGCUAAAUUUGGUAAAAGUGGGAUUUGAGAGGUCACGACUUUAAAUAGUAUUGAACCCACUAUAUCGUAUUUCAAGGAAUUUGAUUAUGAUAAUUGUUCUUUAGAAGGUUGUAUUUCCUUGUUGCAAUCCAUUGUUAAUUUUCCUCAUGCUUAUAGUCAAAAUAAAGCUUUUACCAAACAUAUCGUUGAUGCCUUGAUGCAAUCUUAUCAUGAAAAACUUAAUUUGGAAGUUUCUAUACCUAGAAAACUUAACGAUGAGUGGGAACCUACUAUAAAGAUUAGAAUUAAAGAUCAUGAGUGUUUUGCUUUGUGUGAUUUGGGUGCUAGUGUUUCCACAAUUCCGAAAACUUUAUGUGAUAUUCUACGUUUCCAUGAUCUUGCUGAUUGCUCUUUAAAUUUGCACCUUGCGGAUUCCACCAUUAAAAAGCCAAUGGGAAGGAUCAAUGAUGUUCUCAUUGUUGCAAAUAGAAAUUUUGUGCCCGUAGAUUUUAUCGUUCUUGAUAUAGAUUACAAUCUUUCUUGCCCUAUUAUUCUUGGUAGACCUUUCCUUAGAAUGAUUGGCGCGAUUAUUGAUAUGAAGGAAGGGAAUAUUAGAUUCCAAUUUCCAUUAAAGAAAGGCAUGGAGAACUUUCCAAGAAAUUAAGUCAAAUUACCUUAUGAAUCUAUCAUGCGGGCUACUUAUGAAUUUAGUGCCAAAGAUGGCACUACUUAGAUCUAUCUUUGCUUUUAUGCGUAGCUAGGGGCGUUAAACGACAGCGCUAGUUGGGAGGCAACCCAAUUUUCUUUGUGUCUUUUGUUUUUGUUCCUGUUUAGUAAUAAAUAUUGCAUCUACCUUCUAUUUAGAUGUGUUUUUAUCUUUUAAUUAGUGUUUGUGCCAAGUAGAACCUAUAGGAUAACCUAUGAUGAUAGUUGAUUUGAUUCUGCUGAAAAACAAAAACUUUGCGCGCACGAAAUUAGUUUUGUUAAAUCACAGAAACGUGAUUUUGCGUUGAUUCUUUUUGCUUCUGAUCAAUAUACAAAUUGUCCAGGACUUCAUAUUUGUUUAGGAUUUUUAAAUGUCCAUAAGUUUGCAUUCGUUACAGAUUUCUACACACUGUUCUGUUUUUUGACGGAUUCUGUUUUUUCGUGUGUUGUUUGCUUAUUUUGAUGCAUCUAUGGCUAGUAAAAUAGUUUAGAAAGCAUAGAUAAGUUGGAAUACAGUAGGUUUAACACCAAAAUAAAGAAAGAAUCAGUUCAUUACAGUACCUUAUGUGGUGGUUUUGUUUUCUUUCACUAAUAGAGCUUAUAAGAUUUCCUAUUGAGUUUUGUGUUGUGAAGUUUUCAAGUUUUGGGUAAAGCUUUUAUAUACUAUGGAAUAAGGAGUGGCAAGAGCCUAAGCUUGGGGAUGCCCAUGGAACCCCAAGAUAUUCAAGGAUAGCCAAAAUCCUAAGCUUGGGGAUGCCCCGGGAAGGCAUCCCCUCUUUCGUCUUUGUUCAUUGGUAACUUUACUUUGAGCUAUUAUUUUAUUCGCCACAUGAUAUGUGUUUUGCUUGGAGCGUUGUGUAUUAUAUUAGUCUUUGCUUUUUAGUUUACCAAAAUCAUCCUUGUCGUACACACCUUUUUGGGAGAAGCCUACUUGAUUGAAUUUAUUAGAAUAUGAUAUGUGCUUCACUUAUAUCUUUUCAGCUUGAUAGUUUUUGCUCUAGUGCUUCACUUAUAUCUUUCAGAGCACGGCGGUGACUUAUUUUUGUAGAAAUUGCUAGUCUCUCAUGCUUCACUUGUAUUAUUUUGAGAGUCUUUUACAACAGCAUGGUAUUUGCUAUGGUUAUAAAAUUGGUCCUAGAAUGGUAGGCAUCCAAGUUGGGUAUAAUAAAAACUAUCAUAGGAAGUGAAUUGGAUGCUAUGAUCGAUUUGAUACUUGAUAAUUGUUUUGAGAUAUGGAGGUAGUGAUAUUAAAUUCAUGCUAGUUGGGUGAUUAUGAAGUUAGCAAGUCCCGUAGCAUGCACGUAUGGUUAAAGUUGUGUAACAAAUUUGAAACAUGAAGUGUACCUGGCUUGUGCAUCCUUAUGAGUGGCGGUCGGGGACGAGCGAUGGUCUUUUCCUACCAAUCUAUCUCCCUAGGAGCAUGCGCACAGUGCUUGAUUUUUGAUGACUUCUAAAUUUUUGCAAUAAGUAUAUUAGUUAUUUUGACUAAUGUUGAGUCCAUGGAUUAUGCGCACUUUUACCUUUCCGCCAUUGCUAGCCUCUUCGGUACCGUGCAUUGCCCUUUCUCACCUUGAGAGUUGGUGCAAAGUUCGCCGGUGCAUCCAAACCCCGUGAUACGAUACGCUCUAUCACACAUAAACCUCCUUAUACCUUCCUCAAAAUAGCCAUCAUACCUACCUAUUAUGGCAUUUCCAUAGCCAUUCCGAGAUAUAUUGCCAUGCAACUUCCCACUGUUCCAUUCGUCAUCAUCAUGACAUACUUUACUUUUGUCAUAUUGCCAUUGCAUGAUCCUGUAGUUGACAUCGUAUUUGUGGCAAAGCCACCAUGCAUAAUUUUUCAUACAUGUCACUCUUGAUUCAUUGCACCAUCCCAGUACAUCGCCGGAGGCAUUCAUAUAGAGUCAUAUCUUGUUCUAGUUUCGAGUUGUAAUUCAUAUGUUGUAAUCAAUAAAAGUGUGAUGAUCAUCAUUAUUAGAGCAUUGCCCACAGAAAAAAAUGGAAAAAAGAAGAAAAGAAGAAAGGCCAAAAAUAAAAAAGAAAGGCCCAAUAAAAGAAAAAGAAAAAGAAAAAAUAAAUAAAUAAAAGGGGUAAUGUUACUAUCUCUUUUUCCACACUUGUGCUUCAAAGUAGCACCUUGUUCUUCAUGUAGUGAGUCUCAUAUAUUGUGCUUCAAAGUAGCACCAUGUUUUUCAUAUAGUGAGUCUCAUAGGUUGUCUUUUUCAUACUAGUGGGAAUUUUUCAUUUUAGAACUUGGCUUGUAUAUUCCUACAAUGGGCUUCCUCAAAUGCCCUAGGUCUUAGUGAGCAAGCAAGUUGGAUGGACACCCACUAGUUUUCUUUUGUUGAGAAUUCAUUUAUAACGCUAGUGCAUCCGUUGCAUGGCAAUCCCUACUCCUCAUGUUGACAUCAGUUGAUGGGCAUCUCCAUAGCCCUUUGAUUAUCCUCGUCAAUGUGAGACUUUAUCCUUUUUUGUCUUCUCCACACAAUCCCCAUAAUCAUAUUCUAUUCCACCCAUAGUGCUAUAUCCAUGGCUCACGCUCAUGUAUUGCGUGAAGGUUGAAAAAGUUUGAGAGUAUUUAAGUAUGAGACAAUUGCUUGGCUUGUCAUCGGGGGUAUAGAAGUUGGGAACAUCUUUGUGUGACAAAAAUGAAGCAUAGCCUAACUAUAUGAUUUUGUAGGGAUGAACUUUCUUUUGCCAUGUUAUUUUGAGAAGACAUGAUUACUUUGAUUAGUAUGCUUGAAGUUUUACUAUUUCUUUUAUCAAUAUGAACUUUUAUUUUGAAUCAUUUUGGAUCUGAACAUUCAAGCCACAAUAAAGAAAAUUACAUUGAGAAAAUUUUGCUAGGUAGCAUUCCACAUCAAAAAAUUCUGUUUUUAUCAUUUACCUACUCGAGGACGAGCAGGAAUUAAGCUUGGGGAUGCUUGAUACGUCUCCAAUGUAUCUAUAAUUUUUUAUUGUUCCAUGCUAUUACAUUACCCCUUUUGGAUGUUUAUGGGCUUUAUUUUACACAUUUAUAUCAUUUUUGGGACUAACCUACUAACCGAAGGCCCAGCCCGUAUUGCGGUUUUUUUGCCUAUUUCAGUAUUUCAAAGAAAAGGAAUAUCAAACGGAGUCCAAACGGAAUGAAACCUUCGGGACCAUGAUUUUUGGAACGAACGUGAUCCAGAGGACUUCGAGUGCAAGUCAAGAAGCAGCCGAGGCGGCCACGAGAGGGUAGGCCCCCCCUAUAGGGUGCCAAAAACAUCCUAUAUAAGCCUACAUACCCCAAAAACAUCCAGGGAGCCAACGAAACACAAUUUCCACCGCCGUAACCUUCUGUAUCCGCGAGAUCCCAUCUUGGAGCCUUCGUCGGCGCUCCUCCUGAGGGGGAAUCGACCAUGGAGGGCUUCUACAUCAACACCAUAGCCCCUCCGAUGAGUUGUGAGUAGUUUACCACAGACCUUCGGGUCCAUAGUUAUUAGCUAGAUGGCUUCUUCUCUAUUUUUGGAUCUCAAUACAAUGUUCUCCCCCUCUCUUAUGGAGAUCUAUUCGAUGUAAACUCUUUUUGCGGUGUGUUUGUCCAGAUCCGAUGAAUUGUGGGUUUAUGAUCAAGUUUAUCUUUGAGAAAUAUUUGAAUCUCCUCUGAAUUCUUUUAUGUAUGAUUGAGUUAUCUUUGCAAGUCUCUUCGAAUUAUCAGUUUGGUUUGGCCUACUAGAUUGAUCUUUCUUGCCAUGGGAGAAGUGCUUAGCUUUGGGUUCAAUCUUGUGGUGUCCUUACCCAGUGACAGAAAGGGUUGCAAGGCACGUAUUGUAUUGUUGCCAUCGAGGAUAAAAAGAUGGGGUUUAUAUCAUAUUGCAUGAGUUUAUCCCUCUACAUCAUGUCAUCUUGCUUAAGGCAUUACUCUAUUCUUAUGAACUUAAUACUCUAGAUGCAGGCAGGAGUCAGUCGAUGUGUGGAGUAAUAGUAGUAGAUGCAGGCAGGAGUCGGUCUACUUGACACGCACGUGAUGCCUAUAUACAUGAUCAUGCCUAGAUAAUCUCAUAAUUAUUCGCUUUUCUAUCAAUUGCUCGACAGUAAUUUGUUCACCCACCAUAAUACUUAUGCUAUCUCGAGAGAAGCCUCUAGUUAAACCUAUGGCCCCCGGGUCUAUCUCUUAUCAUAUUUGCUUCCAAUCUACUUUUAUUUGCAUCUUUACUUUUUGCAUCUAUAUUAUAAAAUACCAAAAAUAUAUUUAUCUUAUCAUACUAUCUCUAUAAGAUCUCACUUUCGCAAGUGGCCGUGAAGGGAUUGACAACCCCUUUAUUGCGUUGGUUGCGAGUUCUUUGUUUGUUUGUGUAGGUGCGUGGGACUUUUGAGAAGCCUCCUACUGGAUUGAUACCUUGGUUCUCAAAAACUGAGGGAAAUACUUAUGCUACUAUUGCUACAUCACCCUUUCCUCUUCAAGGAAAACCAACGCAAGCUCAAGACAUAGCAAACGUAUCCCGUGAGGUCGUGCUGAUUCGGGCAUGCCUCCAUAUAAUUGACUUGUGGCUUGAAUGUAGCAUUUGUCCGAUUGUUCGUGGGACACUAUUCGGCAUAAUGUACGGUUAGCCCACAAUUGUAACAAGACUUGUUGCACAGACGAUUCUCUAGAAUUGGGUUGAGCACGUCAUUCUUGACUUGGGUGGUGGUCUUGUUAACAUUUUGUUGCCAAUUGGGCUUGUAUGCUACCUGAGUCGGCUGCCAGGUACGUGCCUUCUGCACUGGUUGCAUUUCCUUCCUUUGCUCAAACUUGCGCUUGUGAUCAUUGUUGGCAGGCUUAUUAUCUGAUACAAGCCUGUGUUCCCUUUCAGCACUGAAAGCCUUGUUCACCAGGGUUUGGAAGUCUGGGAAAUCGAACAUAUUGAGAGUAUACCGGAGUUGCGGGUUUAACCCACCAAGAAACAUGUCCAUCUUUCUUUCCUCAGUGGCCACGUCAUAUUGAGAGUAACGUGACAAAUGAUUGAAUUUCUGCAAAUAUUCUCCCACAGACUGACUUCCUUGGAGGAGCGCAAGAAAUUCACGCUCCUUAGUCUUCAUAAUCCCCACAGGGAUGUGAUAUUUCCGGAAUCGUUCCUUGAGUCUUGACUAAGUAAUUUCUUCAUCACCACACCACAUGGCUUUUUCAUUUUCCCACCAUAUGGCAGCAGCGCCUUCAAGAUAAUGUGUUACAAAUGGAACCCUAUCCCCUUCAUCAGUUCGAGCAACCUCAAGCUUCUUUUCCAUAGUUCUCAACCAAUCACCUGCAUCCAAGGGAUGAAUGGCCUGACUGAAACAGGGAGGCUUAGUCCUUUGAAAAUCUGUGUCAGGACCCCGACUCAAUGCCACAUCGAUCUAGCAUGUAACACCUCAUAUCACUUUGCGGCCUCACGCACGGUAUCCCCACGGGUGUCGCCUUACCCUUGCCCGGGACCGUUUGCGCCUUUUGGCACACGUAUAUGACAGUGUCGCUAGCAUCCAUUUGAUAAGGAUCCCGGGCUGACAUGGCUAGUCGUAAACCCAAAGUGGCACAAACUUACAGGGACAGGCAUCCAUGACCCAGCAUCGAACGUGUCGGUCAUCAGCGAGUGAAUCCAGGCUGUAGCACUGGGCUAACAGGACUCCGGUGAACCAGGCUGUAGCGGGCUAACAGGACUCCGGUAUUCAUCGCGUGACAUUUCCCCGAAGGGACAGACAUAGGAUCGAAGAAGGACACAUGCCGGCCAGCCUAAGUGUUCCGGAGCAGUAGCAAGCUACCAGGGCUCAGUGGAAGCACUAGGAGACAUUUCCCGGUAAGAGAGACUACUAAGGAUAAACAACUAGAUAGUCAGAUCCCACACAUAGCAAUACACAUUACACGUACGCAUAACAUGCAAGUAUGUGCUAUACAACAUGGCAUCACAGCAUAACUCAACAACUCAUAUAGAUAAAGGCUCGGAAGAGCCAUCAUAGCAUUAUUACAAACAGGGGUCACAUGACCCAACAUUCAGAGCAAUCAAGCAACAAACGGAAGCAUUACAUGUCUGAGUACAGACAUCUAUAAAUGAAAAGGGCUGAAAGCCUGACUAUCUACAACAUCCGAUCAAGAUCGUAGCUGAGGUACUAGCUACUAGUCGAAGUCCAUGAGAACACUAGUAAGACCGAAGUCUCCGCUGCAAAAACAUAAAUAAAGCAACAUGAGUACAAAGGUACUCAGCAAGACUUACAUCAGAUCCUAUCAUACAUGCAUUUGUAUCAAGAGAGUAAUGUGGGGUUUAGUUGCAGCAAGCCAGCUUUGACUCUGUGGCUAUCCUGUUCUACGACUACCAUAAACUCUUGAGGUGAUAUGGCGCACACGAGUCCACUAAUCACCACACAAUACACUACUAUGGAUUCAUCCCCGUCUCCCUACGAGAAGGCCAUCCAUAGCACUCACACUUGUCUUGAGCAUUUUAUAGUAUCCACUUCAAGUUGUCUAUGUACCAUGUAAGCAUCCAAGAAGUCCAUAACCGCGGACCCGGCUAUUCGAAUAGAUCAUGUUAACCCUGCAGGGGUGUACUUCUUCACACACGCUCUCGCCACUUGCCGCCAUGUACACGUCAUGUAUCUCGGCAACCUUUAAGCGGAAGCCUGGCGAGGGUGUCGGCCAUGACCUGACUAACCACACAAGACUCUAGUCCAGGUUUAUCGCCUAUUCGGGUUCCAUCCGCAAGGAGAUCCGGCCGGGGUGUCGCUCACGGCCCCAAACGAUGUGUGCAGGGUUCCCGAGCCCACCAUCGGGGUGCCACUCGGUACACCAGGCCACGUGUGCCUAGUCUGUCCCAAGCCCACCCUGCCGGGUGCCACUUGGUAGAAAAAUAGCACUACCUACAAACACCAGAAACUAGUUACAACUCCUGGACAGAGACCAAGUUGGUUAAUAAGUCGAGAGGGGUCGAGUUACCGGAACCCAAUGUGUGGUAGUAUCGAGUCAUUGGACAACAUACAUAGAACUCAGUGCUUAAGGACGGUUCCAGUGAGACAACCCACCAUGUACUCCUACAUGGCCUCUCACCGCUACCUUUACCAAAUCGUGUUCACACACUUCACUCUCAGCAUCAGAAAAUAUCGUAACACUCCAAUUCAUUCCCAAUGAACCAGACCUGACACAACUCUAAGCAAUAGCAGGCAUAGCAUGGUAGGAACACAACAUGGCUCAAUCAACUCCUACACAUGCUAGUGGGUUUCAACUAUUUACUGUGGCAAUGACAGGUCAUGCGGAGGAAUGGGUUCAACUACCGCAGCACAAAGUAGCAGAUGAAUCGCUGUUGUCCUAAUGCAAUAACUGAGAGCAGGAGCGAGAGAGUAGGGUUUUAUCGAAAUGAACAAGGGGGUUUGCUUGCCUGGUAAAUCAACAAGGGAGGCACUGCUUCAUAGACAGGUACUCUGGAACGUCUCCGGAGCAGGACCUAUCGAGAAGGAACGGUGCCAGAAAUGAAUACACAAACAUAUGCAACAAUAUGAUGCAUGAACAUGGCAUGAAGAUGUGAUGUUGUUUGAGCUAAUGCAACUAGUAAUCAUUUGGUUUGAAGUCCAUUUGAACCAUAAGCUCAAAUGCAUCUUCAAAGUAGGCUCUUAUAUAUGCCAUAAUGUGUUUUCCCAUAUUCAGCAUGUAUAAGUUGGUUUGUCAUGCAUGAAACUAGUACAGAUGGAUAGAUUACAUUUUUCUGAUAAUUUUUCAUAUAUAAAUUAUUUCAAUCUGAGCUACGGUUGAAUUGAUAUGAAUUUUUGAAGUUUAAAUCAAUUUCUGGAAUUUCCUGAAUUAUUUUAAUUCCAGAAAAUCAUUAUUGCGUCAGCAUUGAGUAAGCAUGAUGUCAGCAGGUCAAGUUCGGCUGGCUAGGGUCAAACCUGAUGUGUGGGGUCCACACGUCAGUGACAGGGGUUAAACAGGGUUAGAUUAACUUAAUUAAAAGAUUAGGGGGGCACCGGGGCCCACAUGUCAGCCUCAGGGGGGUUAAUUAAGCGGUGAUUAGCACUAAGCUAAUCACCUGACAGCCGGGCCCACAUGGCGGGGCUCAGGCGACGGGGCUCGCCGCCGGCGACCUCUGGACGCGGCGGAGUCCGCGCCACAGGCCAUGGGGACGGCGUCUGAGAGCACCGGGGCGUAGCCCGGGCUCUCGCGCAUCUGGUGGGGCAGGUGGGAGGAGCUGGGGAGGCCGGGGCUCGCCGGAGCAAAGAUCGCGGCGGCGGCCGGAGCUCGGCGGCUUGCGGCCGCGGCGUUGUGGUGUACGGCAGUGGAAGCGGAGGGCUCCUACGGCCUCCUGGCGUCACCAGGAGCACGGUGACGCGCGCGGGAGUGGCUGGCUUGGGCUCAUGCCACCGUGGCGCCAUGGCCGGCGGCGAGGAACUUGCGGGCGCGGUGGUUGAGCUAGCUAGACGGGGCAAACGAGCACGGGGAGGAGGGGGUUCGGUGCGGGGGCUCACAGCGAGACCAGCGAGCGCGAGGGCGAGGUCGGGGAUGCCCGGUAGCUCCCGAAUCGACGGCGAGGAUCCACGGCGGCCGGAGGCAAAGUUGGCGACGGCGAUGGCUCCACGGGGUGCUCCGUCUUGCAUGGCUCGACGAGGAGGUAGAGGGGGUCGCGGCGGAUCUAGGGAGCGUGUCGGGGAGGCGAGGGGAGGCCGGUGGCCGCGGCAACGGCGAGCGGCGGCGGUGAUGGCGCUCGGGUGUGCGAGGGAGAGAGCAGGGGGGAGAGGAGGAGGGCGAGGGAGAGUGCGAGAGAGGUCGGGGUGGCUGCGUGGCGUCUCCCGAGCGUCCAGACGAGUAGGGGACAGGCAGGCAGGCAGGGAGGCUGGUGGCGUGGCGCGGCGGAGCGCGCGCGCGUCGGGCACGCAGCUGCUUGGCGAGGUGGAGAAGACGACAGAGGAGGAGGCGGGCUGGGCCGCCUACUGGCUGCUGGGCCGGCCAGGCCGCACAGGGAGGAGGCCCAGGUAAGUUUCUCCUCUUUUUCUGUUUUCUAGUUUUUCUGACAUUUGUUUUGAUUUAAUAAAAUACUAAAUCAAUUUAUUACCUUAUGCCAAUUUUUGCAGGAGCUAGAUAUAUUAUUCCAGAGCUCCCCAACAGGUGGCAUAAUUUUUGGACAUAUAUUAAUAUAUAUAACUAAUAUAUUUCCAAUGCAAAUAUUUAUCGGAUUAAUCCAAAUGGCCAAAAUAAAUAUCCAUGAGCUCCUAAAAAUAUUGGUUUGAUUUUUUAUCUCUGUCCACUAUUUUUAGAGAGCAACAUGAGCAUUUUCUUGGACCCUUUUGGAGAAAUUUUUAUUUGGGUCAUUUUCAAAAUGAUUCUGAGGGUUCCACCAAUCCUCAUUUCAAAUUUAAAUGAAAUUUUAAACAUGAUGCACAAAUGACUAGCUAGUCUAGGUCAUACCAGACUAGGGAUGUGACAAUCUGAUAGCUUGGAGUGAUGACCGGGCUGAUAUCCAUUCUGUCCAACCACAGCUUGAAUACUUCUUAGUAUUUCCAUCAUAUCAUUAUUUCGUAUUUCCUCAAACAUACGCAGAAUUUGCUCGGUGGAGGGUGGAUUUGGCGGUGGAGGCGAUGGUGGAAUGUACGGCUCGGGUGAGUGUCCUGCCUGUCGUGCGGAACGACGAACAGGAGAUCCCUCGCGAACGUUGCUACUGCAGCCUCCCCGCAUCAUCCUAAUAUGAUUUUUCCCAAGGCAACGCAACCGAGAUGAGAAGCAUUCAAAAUAAACUGGGGAGAAGCCGGCAACAAAAGUCCGAGAAAAACCGAAAUGGCAAAGAAUAUACGGUGAAGGAAAUAAAGUUCCAAAAUAAUUAUACAUAGACUCAUACAUAAAAGAUAACAAUAUGCCAGGUCCAACUACACUCAUACAUGAAACGAAACAUCAUGACUCGUACGACUAAAUCCAUACUCCAUCCUGACAACUGCGAAUACUUGGUCACUCUACUGCUCUGCUGGUGCUGCGGGGUCCUCUCCUGAAGCGGACUCGGAUCCUGAACUGACGGCGUUAACUGAGACCUCCGGGUUAAAGGUGACACGACGACGCUGCCUCGAGGGCUCUCCCUCCGAGGAAGGUGGAGGGUGGAUCAUCGGGGCUACAGGAGUCGCGAGAAGUGGAACCCACUCAGCAGGAGCACAAAGGGGACUCACUAUCGCAGUGCCCGAGCUACUUGGAGGAGUAACCGGGGAAACAGGGGAUCUAGAACUAGCAGGAAUAUAGGGGGUAAAUCCUACAUAUGUUGGAGUAGUGGCUGAGCUAGCAGAGACUCAAGUAGAGGCUAAAGCAGUACGGGCACGACUCAGCUCGCGAGCCAGCUUGUAGAUCAGAAGAUAGCUAGUAGUGAUAUAGCAAGAAAGGUGGCUAGCUACACUAUCAGACUCAGGGUCAAUGUCAGGGAAACGGACACAACCAUUAUCGUGGAGAGAAGGAUAGUAGUGGAAACCUGGGUGGUUCUGCAUCCGGACCUCGUUGUAGCGGAGCUCAACGAGUACCUUGAAUGCAGCAAACUGGACAGCCUGAGAAGCGGUAGAAGCGUAGCCGCUUCGAGAGGUACGAGUGUAAGUGCUGGAAUCGGAACUGGUGCACAGAGUAACCACGGCGUGAUACUCAUACAAUGAUUUAGCUAGACGCUCCCGGUACAUACGAUAGACUGGAUCAUCACCGUGGGGGUACAGCCGAUGCCACACGUUACGAAGGAGAUGCGGCGGUGUGUACGGCAUCAGCUGCAACUGGCACGGAUACAGCACCGGAGCCAUCUACACAGCAUAAACAUAAAUUCAGUGUAUGCAAUGCAACAACCAGCUACAAAAUGCUACCAGCCCUCAACUACAACUCGUAUCUAACGUCCAGUUAACUCGGCGUAGUCUAGCAUGGUCUAAAUUCAGCGCGGCUUUGAUACCAAGCGUUGUGGAACCCCGGCUCAGAGCGACCGGUUUACCCUGCAUUGCCAGCCUAGAGACGUUGUCUUCUGGCAACACAAAACAACUUGAUACAGAAAAACAACCGCUUUAUUUAUGCUAGCGGAGCAUAGUUCAUAUUACAAUAGUUAGCGAGGCCAAGCGGCACACACGGUGCGGCUGAACAAUAUGUACAUUACUUAGUGAACAUAAAGGGGACUCGAUCAUGACAACUACGCGGCAGCGGAACAACGUCAUAGCGGGACUCCAUAGCACAGGGACACCAAUGUGGACACGAUCUAGACUCGGAUAGCUCUCCUUUCCAACGAGACUUUCCUGAAAUCUGGCAUGACACGCAAGGUCAGUACAUUGAAUGUACUUGCAAGCUCACAACAAGCAUAAACAUAAUGACAAACAAUAUCAUGAUAUUUAACCAAUUAAUAACAAUGCAGCAAUAUAUCCAACAUGUUGUGAUUAUCCUCAAGUGGUACUCGUCCCAUGGACUGGCCUACUGAACGUGAUCAUUUCUAGACCACAAACGUGAAGAACUCAGAGACAAUCUCAUGAUCCUUACGGCGAUCACAACCAUGACCAACACUUGGUCUCAAACCGUGAUCCUUAUGGCAAUCACAACCCGACCACACCUGGUCCAACUCAACGCGAUGGCCUUACUGCCAUCACCUCAGUGCAAUCUUAGUGUGCAAAUUUAUUAAGUGUUGACCCAUGGUGUACCCUACUUUCGAGCCUGUCUGUAACCAUGGACUCGGCUAUCGAUAUUUUAGUACACUCUGCAAAGGUAACGCACUGGACCCACACUACGGGCAUUCCGACGAAACCACUUCAUUUUCAUGACACUCUCCCGGCCACUCCGACUUAAUCCCCAUCGAGCUAGUCCUAGGUGGCCCCAUGUCUACCUCAAGACACCUCAACCACCGUCGUGGCCAUGAUCCACUCUGGGAUCCGGUACCAAAAACUUAACUCAUCAACGGGCUCACAAGGUUAUGCCUGCUUACCGGGCCAGGGUACAGCACGCCCAUAACCUUCCCUAGAUGGAGGCACCGACCAGAGGCACGAGAAUGAAAUUCAUUAAGGCCGUCCCAUACCGGCAAAUGUGGUUGCACUGGGAAAAACUUGUUUCAGCGGCACCAUGACCCGGUCAACAACAUAUUCAAGUUGAGUUAUUUAUCAGGUUCAACUUAAAGUGAAAUUAAUCGUUGUCAUAAGGUCAUGCCAUGCAUCCCCAACAUAUCCAUCACAUAUCCAUGGAAAUAACUAAGUCAACUAUGCUCCCACGGAGCUAUAAUCAACUCAUGAUACUUAUCUGGUUAAGAUCCAACCUCACUUAAACCAGAAUCAUUUCUAGCAAUCUCAUCAUUUUUCAUCAUGCAAGAAUAAUAAUUUAACUGAUUAUUUAUCUCCAUGAUCAUAUCAUUUUAUCAUUACUAAAUUCUUGUUAGCUCAUCAACAAGAUUCACUUCAAACUUUCUAUAAAUCAGGCAUAUUUGACAUGACAAGCACCUAACAGAAUAUAAUUAUCAUAAUAAUAAAUUAAAUGCAUGAAUAAUCAUAAGUUCAAGUAGGAAAAUAACAAGUAUUGAAGUGGUACUAUGAAAAUGUUGUUGUGGCUUGCCUUAGUGCAGAUGAGGUUCAUAAACCUCCUGGUGAUCCUCAAGACAUGCCUGCUCUUCUGAAAAUAUAUAAAACCACAAAAAGAAAACAUCAAGAAACCUUCUGAAAAUUACCAAAAAAAUCUAGACAGCAAGGAAAAAUCCCAUCUUUUGGGUGCUGCUAGAUUUUUGGACAAAGAACAUAAUGCAAAAAGAAUCAAUGCAUUUGGACUUAUAGAUAAAAGUUAUGGCUGUUUGAAGUUUCCUGGAUUUAAAUGAAUUUGAAUAAAAAAUAAAACAGACUGGGGGUGAGGUCAAAGGCGUAAAAGCACAGGGCUCCACCACUCAUACCGCUUCGCGUGCGUACUGAGUGGCUGACUAGCGGGCCCCGCUAGUCAGGUCACAAGGAGGGGGAGAGGGAAACAGAGAGUGGCGGAGCUUUGCCGGUGCGCACACCGGCGGCGAGGGAUCUUGGGGCCAAACGAGAGGGGUGGAUCGAAGGAGAAGAAGAUGGCGCACCUGCCCGUACACGUAGCGUGGCUAGAGGUGACCGGAUGGCGUUGGAAACGGCCUCUCUAGCGGAGGCAGAGGACAGCGGUUGCCGGAGACAAAGAUGACGGUGGCUCGGGGCGGCUCCGGGGGCUCCAAUAGGGCGGAAUGGCUUCACCGAAGAGUGGCGGAGGCCCUGGCAGGGUCGCCCUGGCCUGGGAGGGGUUGGAGCUGCAGGUACGAUCCGAAGGGGAUCACCGGGGAGCUCGAGCUCGGGGACGACAGCCCGCAGCCUGCCCGGCCGGGCUGCGGCUUCUACUAGCUUAUGGUGGGUGUGGGAGUAGCUGCGGGUGCUCGAGGAGGCUGGGGGUGGCGGCAUUUAUAUUCAAGCGGCGAGAGGGGUUCGGGCUCCGCCGGAGGACACCUGUCCACGGCGCCCGGCGACGAACGGCACCAGUGAGAGACGGGGAAGAGGACGGAGAUCAUGCGAGAACUAUUGGUGGGCGCGGACGAGCACAGGGGCAAGGGGGAAGACGACGAGCACAGUGCGCCGCGCACCGUGUCAUUGGCCGGACCGUGCCCGUGCCUGCUGCAGCGAGCUCCGGCGUCGGCAAGUGCUAGGGGGAGUUAAGGGAGUGGAGACAGGGAUGGUGGUGAGGUUUGGCAUGCUCGGGCAGGCUGGGCAGCGAGCACGCGCUCAACAGAGUGCUGGGCGGCAUGCAGAGCGCGUGUUUUGCAUGCCAACACGCCCGGACGAACGCGGUCACCGCGUGAACUAUGACAUCAGGCCAGGAUAAGUGCUAACUUCAUGUCUAGCGUGUAGUCCUUGGUAGUUUGGAGUGUUACCAUGGUUGGGUUUGGUUCCAGGUGCAUUAGAAAUGAAUUUGUACUGCAAGCAAGUUUCUGGAUAGUAACUUUGGAGGUUUACUGUGGUCAAACCACUAGGAGUUAGGGGCUGAGCUUUGGAGGCUAGCUAACACUCACUAAGGUAAAGAGACACAAGAAAAAACAGCUACAAUAGAGCUAGUAAAAUGGUAGUUGCUGUAGAAACCACCAUUUCUGUCCAGAAAUGAAAUUAUUUUCUGUAGCCAAAAUAUUCCAAAGAGUGAUGAAAUAUUUUUUCUCAGAAAGUGCCCUAGGGUUCAAAGAAUAAUUGGGAUUUUUCUCAGGAUUUUAGGGGCAAGAAAAAUUAGGGUUGCUUUGGAGCACAAAGGGCUAGCUAUGGUUUUAGAGGGAAAAAUGAAUAUUUUUCAUUUAAGAAAAAUAUUCCAAGCAAUAUUUUGAGAUGAUCCAGAGGUGAAAUGAUGGUUUGAGGAGGAGUAGGAGCACUUGGGUGAAAGCUAAGGGGUACCCAAGUGGUUAAGUCCAAAUGAAAUGAUUCAAAAACUCCAAACUCAAAUCCAAAUCAACUGAAAACCAGGCAAAGAAAAGAGGGCAAAAACCAGGCUGCCACAUAUUCGGCUCCCCAAACAACUUCCGAAGUGAAGAACUAAUCUUUGACAUUGUCCCUUUCCACAGUGGUUAUGACGCACUGCUUGGACGAACUGCUUUCGCCUGCUUUAAUGCAGUCCUGCACUAUGCUUAUUCGAAGCUUAAGAUGCCUGGACCUCGCGGCGUUAUUACAGUCAAUGGAAAUAUGGAGCGCUCCCUUCAUACUGAAGAACACACCGUGGCCCUCGCAACUGAGGUGUAUGGCAGCCUUAUCAAGCUGAAUAAUUCGUCAGAUAUUAAAGCCAACAACAUCUCUAAACGAGUCUGGUCCGCGCAUCAUUGCGGUAACUUGACGGAUCCGGACCUCAAUUAGUAGUUCGGCCUCCGCCGACUGCCCCAUAAGGUUGCGGCUUACAUACCGCGUGUGCACAAUUACGCACUCAAAAUACCUUGGGCAGCACCGGAGGUACCCUACAGAAAAAUUCCAUAGUACGGCUUGAGCCUAUUUGGAUAUCAUACAUUUUUUCAUUACAGAGCCCUAUCGGCUGUCUGGUUGCAUCAGGGAUCCUUUCAAGGUUUGCUUUUCCCUCCUUUAUGGACAACCAUCAAAUACUCCUACCAAAGGAUUUGCUAUUAAGGAGAAAUGGCGCAGACAUGUGGUAGGGCAUCAUUGGAGUCUUCGAACCAUUACUUUUACGCCAUGUGCUAGACUUUCCUUUUGUAAUUUUUUUAGGCAUGUAACAUGACCUUAUUAUUAAUGGCAUUGUCUGUUGAAACACGCCUCGAUGUAUUGAUAAGGAUAUAAAGUAAGAAGAUGAUCAAUGCCUUUUUGUUGGGUUCUUGUAUUAUCUCGUCAUCUGUAUUCCCUCCUUGUUUUGAUUGACAUACGCGCGUUGGCACGGCCUUGAUACCAGGGGCUGUAUUCGGCCCCACAAAUUCUUAAAGUCUGAACACCUAUAGGGAACUCUUUGGCAUCCCGGAUAUUGCACUAUAUGCACCGGCUCUAAAUCAUGUCUUUGGUCUAUAGUUGGGUUGCUCGGCUCCUAUGUUUUCCACCUUACGUUCCGCAAGUUCAGCUAAGGUAGUAAAGGGAGAACUACUAUGACUGUAUUUCUAGUUUGUCUAGUUAAGUACCUCAGUAGAGAAAUCCGAAAACUGACUGUCGUGAUAUGCGCGAGCAGGUCAGCGAUCCGGUGACUCAGUGUUAUACUACAAAUCGUUCGUGAUUUAUGCCGUGUUAUACAAGGGGCUGGGCUUCGACCAGCCAUGUUGCAAAGGCACCGUACUCCGGAUCGCUGUUAACGCAACAGGGCUAGUACUUAGCCCCACCAAUGGACUCUUAUGGCUAAGUGAAAGUAAUAAAGCCGCAUAGUCCGAUUACCUAGUUCACCUUGCAAGAUGCCUCCUAUAUAGAACCAAUAUGUUGGAUAAAGUGUAGACAUGCGUUCCCGGACACCCUUGUAAUAUUUACAUGGGGGCAGAAGCCGAUGACUGGUAAACUUUCAGACUUAUAAAAUAAAUGGCCAAACAGGAGCAUAAACUAACAAAAUCAUAAAGCGCAAGCAUAAAUAUUUAACAUUAUGAGUUCAUUAUGUCGUUCUUACAAAAUGGACUCCACUACACAAAUAUGAUACCCUUUGAGCACUGACCCUCUAUAAUGCGGGCUCCCUUGAGGACCUCGCUGAAGUACCUCUCCGGCCUCUGGUGAUCCUUGCCUUCAUGCGGCCCUGCGGUGGUAAUCUCGGUGGCCUUCAUCUUCGCCCAUUGCACUUUGACUUGGGAAAAGGCGAUCCGGGCACCUUCUAUGCAGGCCGUCUUCUUGAUGGCGUCGAUCCUAGGACUUGCAUCAACUAGCCGCUUCAUGAGUCCAAAGUAGCUAUUGGGUAUGGGCUCAGCUCGCCAAAGACGCACUAUUACAUCUUUCAUGGCCAGUCCGGCCACCCUAUGCAGCUCGGUCAACUGCUUCAACUGAUUGCUGAGGGGCGCCGGAUGCUCUGGUGCAAGGUCUGCGACCAGAAUAGCUUCUUCGUCGAGCUCCCCUCUUCGGCUCGGAAGAACUCUACAGCAUCAAUAACACUCCUCGGCAGAUCCGCAAACGUGCCUGGAGAACUCCAAACUCGGGUCAACAAGAUGUAUCUCUUACUUGUAAAUUUGCUCUACAGAAGAAAGGCCUUACCAGCCGCUAUCUACCUCACCUCCUAGAUCUCCUGGCGAGCGCCCUGGGCUUCAACCCAGGCCUCCUUCACACUCUCAAGAGCUUUAGUGAGUUCAGAGGCUUGCUCCGGACUCUUUUGCUCCAAGGACUCGCACUUGGUAAUGGCGUCCUUGAGCUCAUGUUCUACCUCGCCCACCCACGCCUCGUGUUGUUGGCGUGUCAGGACCCCGACUCGAUGCCACAUAGGUCUAGCAUGUAACACAUCAUAUCACUUUGCGGCCUCACGCACGGUAUUCCCACGGGUGCCACCUUACCUGGCCCGGGACCGUUUGCGCCUUUUGUCUCACGUAUAUGAUAGAGUCGCUAGCACCCAUAUGAUAAGGAGCCCGGGCUGACAUGGCUAGUCGUAAACCCAAAGUGGCAUAGACUUACAGGGACAGGCAUCCAUGACCCAGCAUCGAACGUGUCGGUCAUCAGCGAGUGAAUCCAGGCUGUAGCACUGGGCUAACAGGACUCCGGUAUUCAUCGCGUGACAUUUCCCCGAAGGGACAGACACAGGAACGAAGAAGGACACAUGCCGGCCAGCCUAAGUGUUCCGGAGCAGUAGCAAGCUACCAUGGCUCAGUGGAAACACUAGGAGACAUUUCCCGGUAAGAGAGGCUACUAAAGAUAAACAACUAGAUGGUCAGAUCCCACACAUACCAAGCAUUUCAAUAACAUACACACAAUAUGCUCGAUAUGUGCAAAUACAACAUGGCAUCACAACAUGACUCUACGACUCAAGUAAUUUAUUCAUUAGGCUCCGAGGAGCGAGAUAUUACAAACAUGGGUCUCAUGACCCAACACUCAGAGCAUACAAAUCGAAGCACAAGCGGAAGCUAUCAUGUCUGAGUACAGACAUCUAUAAAUGAAAAAGGCUGAGAAGCCUGACUGUCUAUCAGAUCCUACCGAGGGCACAAGAUCGUAGCUGAGGUAACAAGCUAAACGUCGAAGUCCACGUGGAACUACUAGCGAGACCGAAGUCUCUCUGCAAAACAUAAAAUAGGCAAACGUGAGUACAAAUGUACCCAGCAAGACUUACAUCAGAACUAACUACAUAUGCAUCAUUAUCAACAAGGGGAUGGUGGGGUUUAACUGCAGCAAGCCAGCUUUGACUCGGUGGCUAUCCUGAACUACGACUGCAAUGUAACUCUUUUGAGGUGGCGCACGCGAGUCCACAUAUUCCCCAUAUCAAUACACCACUAUGGAUCCGCUCCCGUCUCCCUACGAGAACGCCAUCCAUAGCACUCACGCUUAUCUUGCGUAUUUUAGAGUAUCCACUUUCACUUGUCUAUGAACUGAUACAAGCAACCCAGAAGUCCUUUUCCGCGGACACGGCUAUUCGAAUAGAUCAUAUUAACCCUGCAGGGGUGUACUUCUUCACACACGCUCUCACCACUUACCGCCAUUUACACGACAUGUACUCGGCAACCUUCAAGCGGAAGCCCAACGUGGGUGUCGGCCAUGGCCUACCUAAACACUCAAGUCUCUAGUCUAGGUUUAUCGCCUAUUCGGGUUCCAUCCAUGAGGAGAUCCGGCCGGAGUUUCGCUCACAGCCCCAAACGAUGUGAACAGGGUUCCGUGACACCAAACGGGCGCCCGGUUUACCCGGCCACGUGCCUACCGCAUCACAGCCCACCCCUACGGUCAGCGCUGCCCACGGCCUCCAGCAUACUACAAACACUAGAAACUACUUGCAACUCCUGGACAGAGGACAAGGGUGAUUAAGAAGCCGAGAGGGUCCAUUGGUUUCGGGCCCAAUGCGUGGUAGUAGCUGAAUCAUGGAUCACAAACACAGAACUCAGUUCCUGAGGACGGCUGCAAUGAGACAACCCACCAUGUACUCCUACAUGGCCUCUCACCGCUACCUUUACCAAAUCGUAUUCACACAUUUAGCUCACACACAGUAGGACAUGUUCACGCACCUCUGAUUCAUCCCCGAUGAAUCAGACCUGACUCAACUCUAAGCAGUAGCAGGCAGGACAAACAAGCAUGAAUGAGUAGGCACAACAGGGCUCAAACAAUUCCUACUCAUGCUAGUGGGUUUCAUCUAUUUACUGUGGCAAUGACAGGUCAUGCAAAGGAUAAAGGGGUUCAGCUACCGCAGCAAGUAACAGAUGAAUCGAUGUUGUCCUAAUGCAGUAAAAGAGAGUAGGAGCGAGAGAGUGGGAUUUUAUCGGAAUGAACAAGGGGGUUUUGCUUGCCUGGCACUUCUGAAGAUAACAUUGAGUCUUCAUCAGUGUCAACGAUCACAACGUCGGAACAUUGUCUACCGGGAGGGAACAGAUACCGACAACAAAGAGGAACACAAUCAAUGCAAUGCACAAAAUUAUGCAUGCUAUGACAUGGCAAUAUGAAUGUGUUUUGAGCUAAUGCAACUAGCAACAGAUUAAAUGAAGUUGGUUUGAAUACAAGAUUCAAAUUCAAACUCCAUAUGUGAUUAUUCAAAUGCCAUUUAAUUGAUUUGUGCUAUACAGCAGCUAUAAGUUGUUCUAACAUGCAUAAAAAUGGUACAGAUGGAUUCCUUGAAUUUUUCUGAUAAUUUUUCAUACAUAAAUUAUUUAAUUUGGAGUUACGGUUGAAUUUCUAUGAAUUUUAGAAGUUUUAGGCAUUUACUGGAAUUUCUAAAAUAAUAACAAAUCCAGAAAUGAUUUAUGGCGUCAGCACCACGUCACGGUGACGUCAGCAGGGUCAACUGGGCGCUCCAGGUCAAACCUGACGUGUGAGGGCCACACGUCAGUGACACAGGAACUAAUUAGGGUUUAGUUAAUUCUUAACUAACGUAAUUAGAAGGGCUGGGGCCCACAGUCAGCGGGUCAGUGGGUUAGCUAAAAUUUAAUUAGUACCUAAACCAAAUUAGCAGGGCCUCGGGCCCACAUGGCAGUGAAACAGUGGCUAAAUAAAUUAAAAUAAACUAAACUAAUUAACAGGGGGCUGGCCCCACCUGUCAUCGACCCAGGGGGAGGUCAAACCCCUGGUCAACAGGGCCUAACCCGUCGGCGGCUUGACGCCGGCGAGGCCGAGGCGGCGGAGGCCUUCGGGUUUCUUGCUCCGGCGACCAAACGCCGCGCGGAGAGGCUCUGUGGGUUCCUAGCGCUCGUGCGCAUCCGGAGGAGGCGACGGAAGGACGCGGGGUGGUCAGCACUCGCCGGAGCGGAGCUUGCGGCGGCGGCCGGAGUUCGGUGGUUGCGGCUGAGAGGGCUAGAGCUCGCGGGCGAGGGAGCUGAGCAGCGCAGCGGCAUCUACACAGCACAUGGAAGAAGUCUGCGAUCUCGGUUUGGUCGUCGGGGCUUGCUAGCGCUGGCAGUGAUGAGCGCGGCGGCGAGAAUCUCUCGGCCAUGGCGGGGCUACAGCGUAGAGAGUGGGCGCGACCAGGGGAGAAGGGGGAGACGAUGCGGGUGCUCACAGCGCGUCCGAUGGCGUCGUCGGCAAGGUCGGGGGCGGUCGGGUUGCUGCGAAUCGACGACGAUGGCUGUCGGUGCAGAGGACGAAGACAACAACGAUGACGGCGCUGCGGGGCGCUCCGGCGUCGUUUGUCUCAGCGAAGAUGAAGAGCAGGUCAUGGCGGAGCUCCUGGACCGCUCGAGAGGACGAGGGGGAGGCGAUAGCCGCGGUGGUGCUCGUCGGUGGCGUCGGCGCGGUCCGGUGAGGUGGGGAACAGCGAGGGAGAGAGAGCCAGGGAAGGGGGAAAGAGCUCCAGGGGAAGAGAGGAAGGGCUGGACGGCUCCGGGCGGCUGCGUGGCGUCUUCAGAGGAGUCGGGGCACAGGCAGGCAGCCUGGAGGUGGCGCGGCGAGCGUCAGGCACGCAGCUACUUCGGUGCGAGGGGAGGAAGACGACAGGGGGGGUAGCGGUGGCGGGCUGGGCCGUGCUGCUGGCCAGGUGGGCUACCAGGUGAGCGCCAGGUAAGGUUUCUCUCCCUCUCUCUGUUUUUCCUAUUUCUGUUCUGUUUUAUAUAUUUAAUUCUUUUGCCACUGUUUCUAAAUAAAACAAAUUCAAGACAGUGACAAAAUUCCCCGGAACAUUUUAUUUAGCACAAUGGAAUUAUACCAAAGCACAUAAAAAUGUUUCAGUUAUUUGAACAUAUAUUCAGUAAUAUUUGGAUAUAAGUUCAAAUUCAAAAUAGUAUUGAUUUAAAUUCAAAGUCCCAAAAAUAAUUCCUUAAAAAUGUUCAUUAUUUUUGGUUUGGGGUAAAACCCUGGCCAAAAUAUAACCAACAUUAGUUAAGGCCAUUUUGGAAUCAUUGAAUGCAUUUUCCAGGGUUCUUUUGCCCUGCUUUUAAUUAAAGUUUUGAGGCUUCAACAAUCCUCAAUUCAUGUUUCAGAAAUUUAAAUAUGAUGCCUGGAUGAAGAUGCAACUAUUUACAAACAAUAUUCUAGGGCUGUGACAAUUCACCCCCACUAAACAAAAAUCUCGUCCCGAGAUUCAAGCGUAGGGUAAGGUGAAGGGGGAACGCAAACUAGCACAAUCUUCACGAUCCAGGUUGCACUUCAAUUGAACGUUGAUUCGUUCACCAUCAUCGUCUCGACGUCUUGUUCUGAGAACUCCAGCCAACAGGACAACGAGAGGAGAAGGAGACUCUAGAAGGAUCGAUCUUCUAGAAGACCAAACAACUCAGGAUUAACCCACGGAAUGAAACAUAGCAACAUCUCUCAAGCUGAGAGACGAAGCACACAUCCAUAGGAAUGGAGUGAAACAGAUGACGAAGGUUCACUAGGUAGACAACGAUUCCACACCUAAGAAGGUGGUGAACGGUUGUCAACGUAGCGAGGAGUUGAGUUGCAAUGAUACCUCAACGAGACAUCCUGGAGGGGGGGUGAUUCGUAGAUAUAUCCCCUUAAGUGGCAAAAAGAAUUACCUUUGAUUCAGAGAUCAUUGAAACUCUUUAAACCAGCCUAGGGCAAUUCUCGAGCGAUCGUUUGGAGGGGGUCGGUAGAAUGGCAUACUCGGACUUGGAUGAUGUGGAUUACCUUGUUGAAGACAACGUAAUGGAUGAAUUUGCUUAUCACCGGAAAUGGAAGAGACCCAUGGUAGAAUGGCACAUUGGCGGUGCAAGCUGGGAACAAAAUGCAAAUGCUGGGAAUGAUUCUGGUAACUGGGGAAGAACCCAACAAUAGAGAGUGAAUUCACUGUUUGAGAAGGUCAUAGCAUUGCCAAGGGAACUGAGAGCAUCCCAAUUAGAGCCGAUGAUAACACGUAGCGCUUGUGCGUGCUCUCAAGAACUUGAGCAUUUCCACAAUCAUCAAGGUUUUAUCAACAACCGCGUCAAGGGUGCUGACAACACAACAUACUACCAUGAUGAAUAGCGAUGGACGAUGCAGAUGCGAAGGAGGAUAACACUUUCUCAGAUUUCACCUUAGCGAGGCCAAGCAAAUAAAAUCUGGAUGAUCGACCGAGAGACAUUUAGCACUCCGCUUCUAAUGUUCUCCUUGAUGUGCUAGCGUAAUCCACCCAUAGAUAUGGUUUGAUAUCUAGAACAUCGAGUAAAAAGGUCGGACUUCGGAACACAGAAAUCCAUAGGGGCAACUAGGGAGUAAUCCUACGAAAUCCCUAUGGGGAGGUGGCCAACUUCCUCAAACAAGAUACUAUAAUAAUAGGUCUACCGGAUGGGUGUGUUGGCCACGACAUCCACCUUGCCGGUUAUUGAGAGACCAAUAUUAUAAUUCUUGGGAAAUGUUCCAACCAUCACAUCUGCCUGAGAUUCAGAUCUGGUUGGUGUCAGGAUAUCCCAGACUCAUCAAGUCUAGAAAGAAAAAUGAAAGUUUGCAACACAAAUCGACGAGAUAAUGUUGCGGGAUUCUCGGGGAGUGAGCUACGAUAGUAAGCUCCAAAACAUGAGUUGGUUCUACUACAAACAUAUGAACAUGUUGUCCCAGACAAGCAUGGCCAUGUAGUAGUCUUAUAAUUAAACACUACUGAGUUCAGGUGGGGAACCAUCAUCGGGGAUAUCAGAGUCCUGUGCAUUACCAUGGAUUAACACAUAACUCCUUUUCCUGAACAAAUCAGUCAGUGGCUUGGGGUGCUACGGAACACAUAUAGAAUGGAGGUUGCAAGUCUCCGAACCACAGAAUACUUCGCACGUAUGCAUGACUGAUUGGGAUGAUUCCAGAGGAAGCAAAACUAACUUUCUCAAAUUCACGGCGGCAACUUCCACCAAAUGCACGUGUAUAAGAGGAAGUCACUCCUUUCAUCAAACAAGUACUUCAUGAGCUAUCAUGAAGAAAAGCUUUCAAAAGUUUCCAACACUAGCUUAAUGUUUAGCAAAAUUAUGGAGAAGACAAGGAUGUUGUCGAUGGGCUCAACAACAAUUCAUCCAGGUUUCCAUAUAAAAGGAAUUCCAUAGUUAAGUGAACACAGUGAUAGCAUUGAUCAGACCAAAAGAUGUAAUGGCGUAUGCUCGAGGGAUCAACCACGAAUAAGACAACAUUACGAGCAUCGUUGGUACUGAUUUGAUUUGACGAUAGCCCACACUCAAAUCAAAGGAUUGAUAAGACAAUAGGUCCAGCAACUGAUCACAAGGACCAAUCGAUGAAGAUAUCAUCUUUCUUCAGCACACCCUACACAAGAAUAUCCCUUUGGAACGAACUAAGUCAGGCAAGCUUUUAUCUUCCAACUCUCCAAGUUGUUGUCUAGCUUAACCAACUAGCUCAGGGAUAUCUAACACCGAUUCUUGGAGAGAAGGUGGUUCACAAGAACCCAACUUGAUCACGAGAUCAACAUAGCGGUCAGGCGACAACCUGGUGAUACUUCCGAGAAGAAAUUUGGAAUAUCAUGAACCACCGGUAUGUUACUAAGCUCGAAAACAAUCUUACUUUUCAGGGCAAGACGAUAUGAUCAAAUAAGCAAGGAUUGGCACUAUCCUAACUCACUGAUCGGAGAGUGCACCAGAAAUAAGGACUAGGUAGCAGAAUCAACCUUAGGGUGACGAUUCAAUAAUCAACACGCUAAGAAUGAGGUUAUCGUCCAUUUAACUACCAAGCAAUGGAGUUGCUAGCAGUAUUGAUUUCACACGCCAUGAUUCAUUUGUUGGCAUUCCGGUUACAAUAACACGGAAACCGAGAAAUUAUCAAUGAUGAUCAGAAGUAUUACUGCGUCAAGAAUUCAUAAGAUGGUGUGCAAUUCCCAUGAUAUUCCUGAUAUAAAGAUGGUAAUACUUCAAGGUAGAACAGACCAGAAGCUGGAUUGGCAUUUUGACCUGCGGAAUACAAUUGCUUUGACCCAAUUCUAGAUAUGGAUGAGAUUCUGGAGUUUGUUUCUCCUAUUCAUUCUGAAAUAGAAUGGCUUGGCGGACCACGAGGGUAAUAGGCAUCGACGAACGAAUGCACGCAUACUCUUGACUAUCAAUUGAUAGGCGAGGGUCGGAAACAACUAAGAUGGGACAACUCAAAAGAACAUAUGAUUUUCUGAGUUGUGGAUGCAUGGAUUAGCAUGUCGAACGAAGUUCAACAUAUUUCUUCCGGAUAACCCAUGCAGAAAGGUAGAACUGGCAGAGCCACAAUAUAUAAUGGAGAACUCAUCAAGAAUAAUCCUGUUGUGAUAUUUCAGUUCAACGAGGAACUUCUGCCAUAAGCGGUCCAUAGUAUUUGGAAGAAGGAAAUACCACAGACCUCGAGGACUAUCGCAAAGUUACUAAUAUCCUGAAGGAACUAGCAAACACUAUCAACAUGAAGUAGGUAGAGUGAAUCUCGAGUUCAAGAACCCAGAAAUAGAAUGCCUACUAACUAAAUGGCAUCACGGGGUGCUUUCGAUAAUGACGGCCAGAAUCACCACACUGGAAACACAGAUCAUGGCUAGACUACUAGAUGAUCCCCUAAGACACCUAGGGUCAUAAUACUAGCUCCAACAUAUAUGUCAAGGUAACGGAGUACCUCAACUCACUGAUUAGUGUGGUUAAUCUGGCCCAUGGGAACAUUGAAACGGGAAGAAAGGAUUUGCAAAUGCAUCAGACUACUUAGAAACCUGGGAUGACUCGGACAGCAUAACGGCUGUAAAUGCUCAGAAAAGAUUUGAGACAUUCACAAAAAUGGUGGCAUAACCACCCAGAACAACACUGUAUCAAGGUUUCGAGAUCAACAAUUAACAUACGAAAGUAGUAGGAACUGAACUGAGACUUAAAUCCAACAAUCUUAUAAGUCCACUGAUUAGUAACACGUGAUCCUAAUAGAAAGAAGAGAUAGCCUAGUUCUUAAUCCCCGUAGAAGAGAAGAUGAUGACUCAGAUCAGAAGGCCAUGAGGUAUAAGGAGUAAAAAGAGCCUUACGUUCCAUCCCACAAUCAAUUCCCCUACAUAUAACUAAAGAAUUUCUAGACUCAACAUCGACCAGUUUGGCUUGGUAAUCCUACAGGCAGUCAAGCUCUGAUACCAACGCUGUCAAGACCCCGACUCGAUGCCACAUAGGUCUAGCAUGUAACACAUCAUAUCACUUUGCGGCCUCACGCACGGUAUUCCCACGGGUGCCACCUUACCUGGCCCGGGACCGUUUGCGCCUUUUGGCUCACGUAUAUGAUAGAGUCGCUAGCACCCAUAUGAUAAGGAGCCCGGGCUGACAUGGCUAGUCGUAAACCCAAAGUGGCACAGACUUACAGGGACAGGCAUCCAUGACCCAGCAUCGAACGUGUCGGUCAUCAGCGAGUGAAUCCAGGCUGUAGCACUGGGCUAACAGGACUCCGGUAUUCAUCGCGUGACAUUUCCCCGAAGGGACAGACACAGGAACGAAGAAGGACACAUGCCGGCCAGCCUAAGUGUUCCGGAGCAGUAGCAAGCUACCAUGGCUCAGUGGAAACACUAGGAGAUAUUUCCCGGUAAGAGAGGCUACUAAAGAUAAACAACUAGAUGGUCAGAUCCCACACAUACCAAGCAUUUCAAUAACAUACACACAAUAUGCUCGAUAUGUGCAAAUACAACAUGGCAUCACAACAUGACUCUACGACUCAAGUAAUUUAUUCAUUAGGCUCCGAGGAGCGAGAUAUUACAAACAUGGGUCUCAUGACCCAACACUCAGAGCAUACAAAUCGAAGCACAAGCGGAAGCUAUCAUGUCUGAGUACAGACAUCUAUAAAUGAAAAAGGCUGAGAAGCCUGACUGUCUAUCAGAUCCUGCUGAGGGUACAAGAUCGUAGCUGAGGUAACAAGCUAAACGUCGAAGUCCACGUGGAACUACUAGUGAGACCGAAGUCUCUCUGCAAAACAUAAAAUAGGCAAACGUGAGUACAAAUGUACCCAGCAAGACUUACAUCAGAACUAACUACAUAUGCAUCAUUAUCAACAAGGGGAUGGUGGGGUUUAACUGCAGCAAGCCAGCUUUGACUCGGUGGCUAUCCUGAACUACGACUGCAAUGUAACUCUUUUGAGGUGGCGCACACGAGUCCACAUAUUCCCCAUAUCAAUACACCACUAUGGAUCCGCUCCCGUCUCCCUACGAGAACGCCAUCCAAAGCACUCACGCUUAUCUUGCGUAUUUUAGAGUAUCCACUUUCACUUGUCUAUGAACUAAUACAAGCAACCCAGAAGUCCUUUUCCGCGGACACGGCUAUUCGAAUAGAUCAUAUUAACCCUGCAGGGGUGUACUUCUUCACACACGCUCUCACCACUUACCGCCGUUUACACGACAUGUACUCGGCAACCUUCAAGCGGAAGCCCAACGUGGGUGUCGGCCACGGCCUACCUAAACACUCAAGUCUCUAGUCUAGGUUUAUCGCCUAUUUGGGUUCCAUCCAUGAGGAGAUCUGGCCGGAGUUUCGCUCACAGCCCCAAACGAUGUGAACAGGGUUCCGUGACACCAAACGGGCGCCCGAUUUACCCGGCCACGUGCCUACCGCAUCACAGCCCACCCCUACGGUCAGCGCUGCCCACGGCCUCCAGCAUACUACAAACACCAGAAACUACUUGCAACUCCUCCACAGAGGACAAGGGUGAUUAAGAAGCCGAGAGGGUCCAUUGGUUUCGGGCCCAAUGCGUGGUAGUAGCUGAAUCAUGGAUUACAAACACAGAACUCAGUUCCUGAGGACGGCUGCAAUGAGACAACCCACCAUGUACUCCUACAUGGCCUCUCACCGCUACCUUUACCAAAUCGUAUUCACACAUUUAGCUCACACACAGUAGGACAUGUUCACACACCUCUGAUUCAUCCCCGAUGAAUCAGACCUGACUCAACUCUAAGCAGUAGCAGGCAGGACAAACAAGCAUGAAUGAGUAGGCACAACAGGGCUCAAACAAUUCCUACUCAUGCUAGUGGGUUUCAUCUAUUUACUGUGGCAAUGACAGGUCAUGCAAAGGAUAAAGGGGUUCAGCUACCGCAGCAAGUAACAGAUGAAUCGAUGUUGUCCUAAUGCAGUAAAAGAGAGUAGGAGCGAGAGAGUGGGAUUUUAUCGGAAUGAACAAGGGGGUUUUGCUUGCCUGGCACUUCUGAAGAUAACAUUGAGUCUUCAUCAGUGUCAACGAUCACAACGUCGGAACAUCGUCUACCGGGAGGGAACAGAUACCGGCAACAAAGAAGAACACAAUCAAUGCAAUGCACAAAAUGAUGCAUGCUAUGACAUGGCAAUAUGAAUGUGUUUUGAGCUAAUGCAACUAGCAACAGAUUAAAUGAAGUUGGUUUGAAUACAAGAUUCAAAUUCAAACUCCAUAUGUGAUUAUUCAAAUGCCAUUUAAUUGAUUUGUGCUAUACAGCAGCUAUAAGUUGUUCUAACAUGCAUAAAAAUGGUACAGAUGGAUUCCUUGAAUUUUUCUGAUAAUUUUUCAUAUAUAAAUUAUUUAAUUUGGAGUUACGGUUGAAUUUCUAUGAAUUUUAGAAGUUUUAGGCAUUUUCUGGAAUUUCUAAAAUAAUAACAAAUCCAGAAAUGAUUUAUGGCGUCAGCACCACGUCACGGUGACGUCAGCAGGGUCAACUGGGCGCUCCAGGUCAAACCUGACGUGUGAGGGCCACACGUCAGGGACACAGGAACUAAUCAGGGUUUAGUUAAUUCUUAACUAACGUAAUUAGAAGGGCUGGGGCCCACAGUCAGCGGGUCAGUGGGUUAGCUAAAAUUUAAUUAGUACCUAAACCAAAUUAGCAGGGCCUCGGGCCCACAUGGCAGUGAAACAGUGGCUAAAUAAAUUAAAAUAAACUAAACUAAUUAACAGGGGGCUGGCCCCACCUGUCAUCGACCCAGGGGGAGGUCAAACCCCUGGUCAACAGGGCCUAACCCGCCGGCAGCUUGACGCCGGCGAGGCCGAGGCGGCGGAGGCCUUCGGGUUUCUUGCUCCGGCGACCAAACGCCGCGCGGAGAGGCUCUGUGGGUUCCUAGCGCUCGUGCGCAUCCGGAGGAGGCGACGGAAGGACGCGGGGUGGUUAGCACUCGCCGGAGCGGAGCUUGCGGCGGCGGCCGGAGUUCGGUGGUUGCGGCUGAGAGGGCUAGAGCUCGCGGGCUUGGGAGCUGAGCAGCGCAGCGGCAUCUACACAUCACAUGGAAGAAGUCUGCGAGCUCGGUUUGGUCGUCGGGGCUUGCUAGCGCUGGCAGUGAUGAGCGCGGCGGCGAGAAGCUCUCGGCCAUGGCGGGGCUACAGCGUUGAGAGCGGGCGCGACCAGGGGAGAAGGGGGAGACGAUGCGGGUGCUCACAGCGCGUCCGAUGGCGUCGUCGGCGAGGUCGGGGGCGGUCGGGUUGCUGCGAAUCGAUGACGACGGCUGUCGGUGCAGAGGACGAAGACAACAACGAUGACGGCGCUGCGGGGCGCUCCGGCGUCGUUUGUCUCGGCGAAGAUGAAGAGCAAGUCAUGGCGGAGCUCCUGGACCGCUCGAGAGGACGAGGGGGAGGCGAUAGCCGCGGUGGUGCUCGUCGGUGGCGUCGGCGCGGUCCGGUGAGGUGGGGAACAGCGAGGGAGAGAGAGCCAGGGAAGGGGGAAAGAGCUCCAGGGGAAGAGAGGAAGGGGUGGACGGCUCCGGGCGGCUGCGUGGCGUCUUCAGAGGAGUCGGGGCACAGGCAGGCAGCCUGGAGGUGGCGCGGCGAGCGCCAGGCACGCAGCUGCUUCGGUGCGAGGGGAGGAAGACGACAGGGGGGGUAGCGGUGGCGGGCUGGGCCGUGCUGCUGGGCCAGGUGGGCUACCAGGUGAGCGCCAGGUAAGGUUUCUCUCCCUCUCUCUGUUUUUCCUAUUUCUGUUUUGUUUUAUAUAUUUAAUUCUUUUGCCACUGUUUCUAAAUAAAACAAAUUCAAGACAGUGAUAAAAUUCCCCGGAACAUUUUAUUUAGCACAAUGGAAUUAUACCAAAGCACAUAAAAAUGUUUCAGUUAUUUGAACAUAUAUUCAGUAAUAUUUGGAUAUAAGUUCAAAUUCAAAAUAGUAUUGAUUUAAAUUCAAAGUCCCAAAAAUAAUUCCUUAAAAAUGUUCAUUAUUUUUGGUUUGGUGUAAAACCCUGGCCAAAAUAUAACCAACAUUAGUUAAGGCCAUUUUGGAAUCAUUGAAUGCAUUUUCCAGGGUUCUUUUGCCCUGCUUUUAAUUAAAGUUUUGAGGCUUCAACAAUCCUCAAUUCAUGUUUCAGAAAUUUAAAUAUGAUGCCUGGAUGAAGAUGCAACUAUUUACAAACAAUAUUCUAGGGCUGUGACAUGGCGGGCAGUUCACUCCACCUCCAACUCCUUCGCCGCUUUGUCAGCGGUCGCCCUACUCACCUCUGCCUCUUUUUUGGCUUUGGCAAGAGCGCUCUUAAGGGACUCGACCUCGGUUGCACAAACUAUGAGUAUAGUCAUAAAACUUAGUAAAUUUAAAGAAUUAGCACACACAUCACUUCGGGUAGGUAAUAGUGUUGCAUACCUUGCAUUUCGUCAAACCGCUUGUUGAUGUGGUUGAGCUCCUCAUCGGCUAGUCAAAGCUUCCGAUAGAGCUCGGAAACCUCUGCGGCUUGAGUAGUAGCCGCCAACAUGGACACCUGUCUCACAUAGCAACACAGUAUGUUAAUAACUUAAAGUGGGAUUCUCUGUCCGGAUUGUUCUAAUCCAGACAGAGUCUCAAGGGCUACUGUCCAUACAUGGGUUUGACCUUUCAUACAAAUAAUUGUUAAAGAAUUACAUCGCAUACCUCAAAGCUCGUCAGUAGGCUGUUGAAUGCAUCAUUCAGUCCGCUUUUCCCAGGCUGAACCUUCUUCAUAACCGCACCCAUCAGGGUGCGGUGCUCUUCCACAAUGGAAGCGGGUUGCAGCGCCUCCUCCAAAACAGGAGCGGCCUCCGGAUCAACAGAGGCCGCUGAUGGAGCUGCUGCUCCUCCCCCUUCUUCGAGGAGGGGUGUUGGUCCAAACCCGGAGCCACAUUGGUCUCUGGGACGGUGUUCGGUGAGGGCCCAAACUGUUGAGGCCCCCCACCCUCGAAGGUCAAGGGGGUCGCCUUGCCCCAGUCUGCAGCAUCCAAGGUAUUAACCUCAGGCGCCUUCUGUACGGCCUCGUCCGCCCCUCCUUGGCUAGGAGAGGUCCUUUGGGAUGACACCUCGGUGUCCUCCAUGGCAAGGGGAGAAGGCUCGUGAUGGUCCGUCGCUCUCCGCCUCUUUAGGCGCCUGAGAAUUCCCCGGCGAAGACGAGGGAUUCAAGAUAUCGUGCGGAGGGCUGAAAUAGAAGCAAAGAUACAAUUUAUAUAAACAAAGGUGGGUAAGCGAAAGAUGAACAAGUAAGGUUUUUGAUGCUUACAAUUCGGACAGGGGCUUAACCCUGGGGGCUCUCCUUGGGCUAUGUUCGGACUCCGAGUCCAAAUUGACCGAGAAGGUGAUCUUCUUCUUCUUCGGCGUCGCCCCCUCCGGAUUCUCGGAGGUAGUCCUCCUCUUCCUCCUCAUGAUGCGAGGGGAGUCGCUCUCCACUUCCUCCUCCUUUUCUUUGUCCUCGUCUUCCUCGUGAGAGGAGACAGCUUCGAUUUCUUCGGACACAGUGUCCAAAGGACCUCUGCGAUGGGGCCCGCCCUUGGUCUCCUUGCCCUUCUUCUCCGGCCAGCAUCUCCUCCAGCUGAGGAGUGACUAGGUCUUCGGGCAACGGAGCCGGACUCUUGAUCCGCUCCACCUUGUUUGUCCAACCCUGUAAAGAGGUGAGCUGAUAAGAUUUGUGUUGAUCGAAAAUAUAGAUCGGACAUAUCUUUGGAAAACUAACACUUACCGGAGUGGCCAGAUUCUUGGCGUCAAGAUCGACGUCUUCGAUCUCCAUGGGCUAGCUCUUCUGGGCCUUGAACAACAGCUUCCAUAUUCAUGCAUGCGUCGUGCCGAGGAAGUGCUGCAGGGUCUGCGGCUCCUCCGGAUUGAACCCCCACAUGGGGUAGGUCCGGCGUUGGCAGGGGAGGAUGCGGGGAAAGAGCAUGAUCUGCACCACAUUGGUGAGACCGGCGUUCUUGCCGAGCACGUUGGUGAUGCGCGUUUGCAGCGUCUGCACCUCCGUCUGGGACCCCCAUCGAGGCCUUUGGCGCUCCAUGAAGUGAGCCUCGUGGGGGGACCAGAUCUAAACUCCGGAAUCGCCGCCCAGUUGGUGCGGCGCAACUCGGUGAUGUAAAACCACUCUUGUUGCUAGACCUUGAUGGUCUCGACCAAGGCCCCCUUUGGCCAUGUGGCAUUGGGCAGCUUGUUUCUCAUGACCCCACCACAGUCCGCGUGCUGCCCGUCGACCACCUUCGGCUUCACAUUGAAGAUUUUUAGCCAUAGGCCGAAGUGUGGGGAGAUGCAGAGUAAAGCCUCACACACGACGAUAAAUGCUGAGAUGUGGAGGAAAGAGUUCGGGGCUAGAUCAUGGAAAUAUAGCCCGUAAUAGAACAUGAGUCCCCGGAUGAAGGGAUGGAGUGGAAAAUCUAGCCCUCUAGGGAAAUGGGGGAGGAAAACGACCCUUUCACCGGGCUCCGAGUGGGGAUGAUUUGACCUUUUGUGGGGAGCCUAUGCGUGAUGGUUGUGGCUAGGUAUCCCGAACUCCAGAGAUCCUUUAUUUCGGGCGGAGGAGGAGGAGGAGGCCUCCCACUUGCCCUUGGAACCGGAUCUGGCCAUGGUCAGAGGAGGUGGUGGUGGUCAGGAAGACAAAGACUUUCUUUCGGGCGCUAAGAGCUUGGGAGAUUGGAAGGCGUGGGGAAGAAAGGAGAAAUCCAUUGCCCUCUAAUAGGCUGUAAAAAUGCCAACCGUCCCCCCACUUAUGCCUUGAAACUCGCCUGUUCCCAACGAAAGCAUGCGCCGUAAAUGGUUGGAUUACCCAAAUUUUAUUGAUGAGCAAUCCCAUAAUAAGUGGGCACAAUCUCUAUUUUGACAAGAUGGACCAAGGGGGCUUGGCCUCGUAACACAAAACGCGAGGUGUGAAAAUAGUUCAAAAUGCUAAAGGGUCAAGUCUGACGCUUCGUCGGAAAAAGUUGAUUACGCAAAGCCGAAUAUAUCCUGCCUUCGCAGCUAAGGGUUGCGUUCAUUAUGCAAAGCCGAAUAUAGUUCUUUUAUGGUGGAAAGCUGAUGUAUAUUGUUCAGACAACCCGCGUCACAAUGCCGAAGAUAAUCUGCAUGCCGAACAUAUCGUCAUUGAAGGCUGGUUCAGGGCUACUGAGGGAGUCUUGGACUAAGGGGUCCUCGGGCGUCCGACCUAUUAGAUAUGGGCCGGAUUAAUGGGCCAUCGAGAUGCAAGGAAGAUGACCAUCACUCGUGUUACCUUAGGACUCCCGUAUGCGUGAACGGCAAGUUUAGGUGUCCGGGUAUGCUAUUUCCUUUCUGUUGAACCGACUUUGUACAACCCUAAGCCCCUCCGGUAUCUAUAUAAACUGGAGGUUUAGACCGAAGACAGGAUCAUAACAUUGAUAGGCUAGCGAAGCUAGGGUUUAGCCAUUAUGAUCCCGAGGUAGAUCAACUCUUGUAACCCCUAUACUCAUCGAAUAUAAUCAAAUAGGAGUAGGGUUUUACCUCCAUUAAGAGUGCCUGAACCUGGGUAAACAUGGUGUCCUUUUGACUAUUGUUACCAUCAAUCUGCAGACCUACAGCUUUGGCCCCCCUACCCAAGAUCUACCGGUUUUGACACCGACAACCAUACGCCCACCAUAUACCUUCCUCAAAACAGUGACCAUACCUACCUAUUAUGGCAUUUCCAUAGCCAUUCCGAGAUAUAUUGCCAUGCAACUUUCCACCAUUCCGUUUAUUAUGACACGCUUCAUCAUUGUCAUAUUGCUUUCAUGAUCAUGUAGUUGACAUUGUAUUUGUGGAAAAGCCAUCGUUCAUAAUUCUUUCAUAAAUGUCACUCUUGAGUCAUUGCACAUCCCGGUACACCGCCGGAGGCAUUCACAUAGAGUCAUAUUUUGUUGUAAGUAUUGAGUUGUAAUUCUUGAGUUGUAAGUAAAUAAAAGUGUGACGAUCUUCAUUAUUAGGGCAUUGUCCCAUGAGAGGAAAGGAUGAUGGAGACUAUGAUUCCCCCACAAGUCGGGAUGAGACUUCGGACGAAAAAUAAAAUAAAAAAGAGGCCAUAAAUAAGAGAAAGACCCAAAUAAAAAAAUGAGAGAAAAAGAGAGAAGGGGCAAUGUUACUAUCCUUUUACCACACUUGUGCUUCAAAGUAGCACCAUGAUCUUCGUGAUAGAGAGUCUCCUAUUUUGUCACUUUCAUAUGCUAGUGGGAAUAUUUCAUUAUAGAACUUGGCUUGUAUAUUCCAAUGAUGGGCUUCCUCAAAUAUCCCUAGGUCUUCAUGAUCAAGCAAGUUGGAUGCACACCCACUUAGUUUUUAUUUGAGCUUUCAUACACUUAUAGCUCUAGUGCGUCCAUUGCAUGGCAAUCCCUACUCACUCACAUUGAUAUCUAUUGAUGGGCAUCUCCAUAGCCCGUUGAUACACCUAGUUGAUGUGAUACUAUCUUCUCCUUUUGUCUUCUCCAGAACCACCAUAUUCUAUUCGACCAUAGUGUUAUAUCGAUGGCUCACGCUCAUGUAUUGCGUGAGGAUUGAAAAAGUUUGAGAACAUCAAAAGUAUGAAACAAUUGCUUGGCUCCUCAUUGGGGUUGUGCAUGGUUUAAAUAUUUUGUGUGAUGAAGAUAGAGCAUAGCCAGACCAUAUGAUUUUGUAGGGAUAGCUUUCUUUUGUCAUGUUAUUUUGAGAAGACAUGAUUGCUUUUUUAGUAUGAUUGAAGUGUUACUGUUUUUAUGUCAAUAUUAAACUUUUGUUUUGAAUCUUUCGGAUCUGAACAUCCAUGCCACAAUAAAGAAAAUUACAUUAUGUUAGGUAGCAUUCCACAUCAAAAAUUCUGUUUUUAUCAUUUACCUACUCGAGGACAAGCAGGAAUUAAGCUUGGGAUGCUUGAUGCGUCUCCAAUGUAUCCAUAAUCUUUUUUGUUAUUCCAUGCUAUUAUAUUAUCUGUUUUGGAUGUUUUAUAUGCAUUUAUAUGCUAUUUUAUAUUAUUUUUGGGACUAACCUAUUAACCGAGAGCCCGGUGCCAGUUUCUGCUUUUUUACCUGUUAUAGAGUUUCACAGAAAAGGAAUACCAAACGGAGUCAGAAUGAAACUUUUGUGAUGAUCUUUCUUGGACCAGAAGCAAACCAGAAGACUUGGCGAUGAAGUCGGAGAUGCAAAAAGGUGGCCACGAGGGUGGAGGGCUAUAUAUACUAUUAUACCCUGAAAACGUUUAGGGGAGCCACAAAACCACUUUUCCACCGCCGCAACCUUCUGUGCCAGUUUCUAAUUUUUUUUACCUAUUUUAGAGUUUCGCAGAAAAAGAAUACCAAACGGAGUCCAAACGGAAUGAAACUUUCACGAUGAUCUUUCUUGGACUAGAAGAAAACCAGAAGACUUGGAGAUAAAAUCGGAGACGUAACAAGGCAUCCAUGAGGGUGGAGGGCGCGCCAGGGGUAGCGCGUGCCCCCUGCCUCGUGGGCCUCUCGUGGGUCUCCUGACCUAGUUCCUUCGCCUAUAAAUACUCUUAUACCCUGAAAACAUCUAGGGGAGCCACAAAACAACUUUUCCACCACUGCAACCUUCUGUACCCAUGAGAUCCCAUCUAGGGGCCUUUCCAGGUGUCCUGCCAGAGGGGGAUUCGAUCACGGAGGGCUUCUACAUCAAUACCAUUACCCUUCCGAAGAAGCGUCAGUAGUUUACCUCAGACCUACGGGUGUAUAGCUAGUAGCUAGAUGGCUUCUUCUCUCUCUUUGAUUCUCAAUACCAUGUUCUCCUCGAUGUUCUUAGUGAUUUAUUCGAUGUAAUAUUGUUUUGUUGUGUGUUUGCCUAGAUUCGAUGAAUUGUGGAUUUAUGAUUAGAUUAUCUAUGAAUAUUAUUUGAGUCUUCUCUGAAUUCUUAUAUGCAUGAUUUGAUAUCUUUGCAAGUCUCUUCAAAUUAUCGGUUUAGUUUGUCCUACUAGAUUGGUUUUUCUUACAAUGGGAGAUGUGGUUAGCUUUGGGUUCAAUCUUGCGGUGUCCUUUCCCAGUGACAGUAGGAGCAGCAAGGCACAUAUUGUAUUGUUGCCAUUGAGGAUAAAAAGACGGGGUUUUCAUCAUAUUGCUUGAGUUAAUUCCUAUACAUCAUGUCAUCUUACCUAAUGCGUUACUCUGUUCUUUAUGAACUUAAUACUCUAGAUGCAUGUUGGAUAGUGGUCGAUGUGUGGAGUAAUAAUAGUAGAUGCAGAAUCGUUUUGGUCUACUUGACACAGAGGUGAUGCCUAUAUUCAUGAUCAUUGCCUUAGAUAUCGUCAUAACUAUGCACAAUUCUAUCAAUUGCUCGGCCAUAAUUUGUUCACCCACCAUAAUAUUUGCUAUCUUGAGAGAAGCCACUAGUGAAACCUAUGGCCUCGGGUCUCUUUUCCAUCAUAUAAGUUCUCUUUUCCAUCAUACUAGUUUCCGAACUACUAUUUUGCAAUCUUUUACUUUUUGAUCUAUAAACCAAAAAUACCAAAAAUAUUUACUUUAUCGUUUAUCUAUCUCUACCAUAUCUCACUUUUGCAAGUAACCGUGAAGGGAUUGACAACCCCUUUAUCGCAUUGGGUGCAAGUUGUUGAUUGUUUGUGCAAGUAUUCGGUGACUUGUGCAUUGUCUCCUACUAGAUUGAUACCUUGGUUCUCAAACUGAGGGAAAUACUCACUCUACUUUGCUGCAUCACCCUUUCCUCUUAAAGGGAGAAACCAAUGCAAGCUCAAGAGGUAGCACCCGUGAUACUCUAGAGUCUUCCUCGUGGCUAUAUAAGAGUGCCUCGAGUCCUCCUGCACCUCACCCACUCCUCCCUCACUUCACUUGUUCACCAGAAUCGCCACAUCUCGCCGGAGUUCCCCGUUCAUCCUCGGCCAUUGUCAGAGUUCGAGCUACCCCGGCCAAACAGAGCCUCCCCUCGCUUGUCGGAUAUCGGGUUCCGGCAAAACCCUUAAGGUUCGAACACUGGGAUGCGCACGAAGAUCUGUCCCUACCGAAACAUGCCCUCAACCUCGCCGCGAUUUCUGAGCUAGCUCAAUGAACAACACAAGAGACACAAGAAUUAUACAGGUUCAGGCCACCGUUGUGGUGUAAUACCCUACUCUUGUGUGUGGUGUCGUGGAUUGCCUCUUGGGCUAAUGAUGAACAGUACAAGGGAAGAACAUCCUCGCGAGGAGAGGCAUUCUUGUGUUUGGUGGUGUGCUUGAGGAGGAAUCGAUCCAUUCUCUAUGGUGGUGGCUAGCUCUAUUUAUAGAGGCCCUGGUCCUCUUUCCAAAUAUUGAGCGGGAAGGGAUCCAACAAUGGCCAUUUUGAAAGGGGACAGCUAGUACAAGCUAUCCUGACUAAAGGUGGUCUUCGCCUGCCAAAGGCACUGGUGGUGACACCGUCUUGGGCUCCACUGUGACCUCCGUCCUCCCGUCCUGCUGGUCUUGGUCUCAUUGCACCGAUAGGGAAACCUUUGCCUGAUGCCUCGGUACUCCGUGCCUGCGCUUGCCCCCUUUGCACCAAAGAGGAAACAAGGACACUGCGUGGGCUGGCGCCCUCCUGGCGCUCGCCUAGUUUUGAUCGUCAUGGCUUGCGUCAUGGGCACCUCGCGAGGUACCCCUUGCCUUGAUCUCUCCGCCUACUCGCAAGCCUGCCUAGCGAGGCCGCCCCUGAGGAGGCCUUGCCUCGCCCGCCCCGCGAGGCUUGGCCCCUCGCGAGGGUCUUGAGUGUUGGUGGAUGAAGACGGGUCAUACUGGGCCACUAGUUGAGCCACGCUACAGGCCGCAGGCAGGCAUGUCUAGGGACCCCCGUUCCUAGAACGCCGACAGUAGCCCCCGGGCCCAAGGCGCGCUUGGGCUUGCCUUAGCAGUGAAGCUAAAGGGCAAGUGCGGAGUGCCGCGGACCCCAAUAGCCUGCGGCCUUGGUCGACAUGUGGCGACUGAUUAGACGUGGGCGUCUCUGCUUCCCCACGCUGCCUAAUAUCCGCCUGGCUAGGCAGCCGUGAUGCCUUACACAGUUAUUUCCUCCUCACUGGCAGCGUGCUUUCUAUUCCCCCGUCUUCCUCAAAUCUCUACUUCCGCUCCCAAUCUGACUUGAGCUCCGCUCCCACACCAUCGCCAUGGCACCAGCUAGCAAGGAGAAGGGAAAAAAGCCUCUGUCCUUAACCAGUUCGUCCCCGACAAUCGAGCCGCCGUUGGCCGGUUGCUGGUGCUCAACCUGGAGGCCCUGGGCAAGGUCUGCCCUACGCUCGCUUCCAGCUUCAACGAGUGCAGAAAGACGACGGCUUGGCCUGCGUCCCACGCCUCCAUUGAAAGGACAGUCACUGAGGUUCGAUUCUUUGUUGACGCCCUAUGGGCUGGCCUGGUUCCCCAUUUUUCCGCCUACUUCACUGCAGUGCUCUCCCAUUAUCAGAUCCAUAUGAUGCAUCUUGAUCCUCAAUCCAUUACCCUUCUUGUCGUCUUCGCCUUUGUUUGCGAAGCCAUGGUGGGCAUUGCUCCUUCCGUCGCCCUCUUGCACCACUUCUUCUCGCUGCGCCUGACCGACCCUUCGCAGUGCUCGGGGUGCGUGAGCUUCCAGGCCGUGGCACAAACGGUCGCCUAGGGGAUUGAUUUUGACCUCUCACCAUCCACUGUGGGUUCCAGACCCGGUGGCUGUAUGUGGAUGUCGGAGUACUCAGCCCUCUGCUCUCACCUCCAUUGUUACCUGCUGUCCCCAAUCCCGGUUGGGUCCACGAGAGAUUCGUGAGCCCCCGGCUCUCCUUCAUCUGGUAUCGACUGAGGAGGUUGAGAGAUCUCAGCGUGACAGCGCCCCGGGUGGUGAAGGAGUUCCUCCAGUGUUGCAUUGCUCCUCUCCAGCGUCAUUCCCGACCGAUGUGGGCCCUGACGGGCGACCAGGACCGCAUGAGGCUUCAGGAAACAGAACUGGCGCCCGAAGCGCUGAAGAAUGUGCUUGAGGUCUUGACUGGCGACCCCUCGCCGGGCGAUAUACGGCACGGGGGUAGCCUCCUGUAUCUCUGCUCGAACAGGGCUGAGUUCGCAGGACAGAUGCCUCUCUUCGAUGAAUGGGAGUUGCGUCUGGUCGGCCUUGCGGGGCCUCGCGAGAAUCCCGUCGCCGUGGCUCCCUUCCACGCCACCAGCACUGAUCUUGCCCCAAGAGUGGGCGCAGGGAGGCAAGCAUUGCUUGAGGCUGGAGGCUCGGGUGUUGUGGCUCCGACGCCGCACGGGGUUCCCGAAGUGUCGUCCUCCGGAGCUCAUGAAACCCGCCUUGAGUCGGUCGUUGAUGGGGGGGACGCAACCCACGGCUCCUGAGGCCGGAGCUCCCGAGGCGUCGGCAAGCCAUCAGGAGGUGGUGCCUGAUCGCUCCUCCCAGCUAGGCGCCCCUGAGGUUGGCCGCCUGAGUGCUUCUUCACCCGUGCCACAUGCCGGUCCUCACGUCGAGCUCCUGGAUCAGUUUCGCAUGGACUUCGCCGCACUCCGCAAAAGGAAGGAGUCUUCGAGUUGUAGUGGUCGCACCUUCCGACCACUAAAGCAUAGGAAGUACUUCGCCAUAGAUGAGUAAGUACCUCAUUCUUGCAAUUCUUCAAUCGCUGCUCCUUUUCCAGACUGUGACAUUUCAGGAUCCCUCCUGCCAAGCCUGCGGAGUCUCCCAAGAAGCAACUUCCUCCGACUUCGCCUUCAUCGCUAGCCUUGAGCGUCCCGAGCCUGCAUGCUGCCCCUGACGCGGGGUCAGCCGGAGAAGCAAGCCUGCCCGCAGGGUGUCUUGAGCAUGUGCCCUUGCCACCUUUCCUUCGCGACCUCGCCUGGAGCAUGGGCAGCCUGCCCAGGGCUCCUCCUCUGAUCGUGGACGGUGAAUGGUUGGCGUUGAUCCUUGGCUCUUCUUCGGGGGAUGGGCCUGCGCCGGUCCGAAUCCCUUGCAGGGCCCGGCCAGCGAUCUAGGUGGCGCCAGCCCCCAGCCCCCUGCCAAUAGGGGGCGAACCACUUCACGGCCCGCCGACAGCGCCGGCGGCGAAGGACGACAUCGUUAACAUGCUCAAGCUUGUGCGAGAGGGAAGCAUCAUCCGCCACGAGUUCCUCCGGAAGGCGAUGGACGUGAUGGGCCAGCUUGGUGGAGAGCUUGCGGAUGUGGACGCGUGCCUUGAAGCUGAGGGCCUGCGGCUGAUUGAGGAGCGACGCAAGCUGAAGGUGGCCAUCAACCUUGAGGGCCACUAGCGCGAGCUUGACAAUGCAAAGGCCGAGUCGUCCCUUGCGACCUCGCGAGUGGCCUACUCCCAGGCUCUGGAGGAGGCUCGAGAGGCAGAUUAUCAUCACGAGAUCGCAGAGAAGCGCGCGUGGGAGCUCCAAGCCUGGAGCGCCUCCUUGGAGCAGCAAAUGGAGCUGCGUCAAGCCUCCCUUGUGUCGCUGAAGGGGACGCCUAUUGAGGAGGAGGAGCUCCGAAGGCGCGAGGAAGCGCUGACGCUGGAGGCCGCUGAGCACAAUCUUGACCUUGAGCGGUUGGAGACGAGGGAGCGCCAGGUUACCCAGACAGAGGAAAAGGUUGGCGCGCGCGAGGCUCGAAUCUAGGAGGAGGUCGACCGCCGCGUGGCAGAGGCUCGCGCAGAUCUUGUGAGCAGGUAUGACUUGAAGCUAAAGAUGGUUGAGGCCGAAGCUACGGGCACACUACAAGAAAUAUGUCAACUUGUGACCACCACUAUUGGUCACUGAAAGGUCAUUGUUUUUCAUUUGCGACCUUUUUGUGACCAAAAACAGAAGGUCAAAAGCUGGCAGUCGUAAACUGACUAUAGCGACCUUCUCUGAGAGAAGGUCGUAGAUGUUUACGACCAAAACAAAAGGUCGUUGAACCCAUGACCUUUUGUUUUGGUCACUAGUUGUCUGCCCAGGCCACGUCGGAUCCGAUGUGGCAAUCUGACGUGGCAAAAUUACGACCAAUUCAAAAGGUCACUGACAAGAUUCAGCCCAGUCCGAUUAGGUGUUUUAGAUGGGCCGAGCCCAACAAAUCAACCUUUUAUAUAUUUUUUUCCUAUUAAUUUUGGUCAGCUACAUGGGCCAGGCCCAACAUUAUAGCCUUUUUAUUUUUGGGCUCUAGCCUUUUUUUUAUUUUUUUAUGCACCUUUGUUUUGGGGCUAUAGCCUUUGUUUUUCUUUGUUCUGUCAAGGUCAUGUUCUUCAUAUUUCAAUAUACCAAUACAGAAAACUGACGCAAUACUUCAAAUAACAGCAAGAAGCAAUCUACUAUAUCAGAUAACAUACAUACAAAUGUGAUCAGCAUCAAGUUUACAAUUAGAUAACAGCUCUACAAGUGUACAGUCUACCACAUACAAAUUAUAUAACAGCUCUAUCACAUGAGCCCUACAAGUUCUGCUACAUCACACAUACAAAUAGGAUCAGCCUAAAGGGUUUCAUUACUCCCAGAACUAGCUCCAACUAGCUUCUUCCAACUUCUUUGUCUUGAAGCUCGUGAAGAAACAUGAAAGGCCAGCAUCUGCACGUUAUAGAACAAAAUGAUUAGGAACAAAAUAUAAGUAUAUCUAACAGCAUAUUUAACAGUAAAUAACAGAAUAAUGCAAUAAAUUGGUACAGAGCAAGGUACAGAGCACAGGCCAGGUCAACAAUAAAUAGGUACUAAAUCCAUAAAUAACCAUCUGAAAUGAACUUAAUGAGACAUUUUAGAAUCAACUUGACAGUUAACAGUAAUGUUUGCAUUGGCCACAUCCAGAACUAGAACUGAAAUCAUUUACUCUAUCAAGCAUAUCUACAAUGAUGCAGCACACAAAAAAAGAGAGGUGCACAACAGAGCAGCAUCAUAUAUCACACAACAUGGACACUCUUUGAACAAACAUAGUGUUCCGGUCUAAAACCACAGCCAAUUUCGGAAGCAUGUCGAAUAACUAAACAUACAUACAUGUGAAUAAUUAAACAUACAUACAUGUGUAUAUAGAAGCAGCAGAAGCAAAUAAUAACUAGAACAUGAUAAGCUUAGACUCAAGUGAUCGUGAGACACCAAUAUGAGCUUAGAAUUCACAAGUACACAUUAAUUGUAAUCACUUAGUAGUCAUCCGCCUAAGCAAGCACAGAAGUACAAUGCUUCAGAUACAUGUAUGUAGCAAGAAAAACAGGCAAUGUGAUGACAGUAUGAGCGCACAAUAAUUUUGGGAGUAAAAAGAACAUAAAUAAAACAACACAAUGCUUGAGAUACAUGUAUGCAGCAAGAAAAACAAGCAAUGUGAUGACAGUAUGAGCGCGCAAUAAUUCUGGGAGUAAAAACAAGCAAUACAACAAUCUCUGGAACACCUAGGUAUGAUUGCUUGUUGUUCAUGAGUGUCAACCAUCUGCAUGUGUGUACAUCAAAAAGAAAACAACAGGAUUCAAUUCAUCUUGCCCAUAUACAGCAACCAAUAGACAUCAAACAUCAUUAGAUUACCACAAACUGAAAUACAAAAUCACGAUGAUAGGUCCACAUGCUUCUAUUGUCAGCAUGAUAAAUUGAUAUGCAUCGAACUUGCAUGAUGUUUGAUGAACUUUGUGCACUACUGUAUUGAUAUGCAUCAGUUCCAAAUUGGUGUGCACUACUGUUGUCAGCAUGAUAAAUUGAUAUGCACUGUUGUUGUUGCUGCUGUUAAACAAAUCACUACUGCUACUCCUGAGAGCAAUUCCUACUCCUGCACAGAAAGUUUACUCCUAGGAGUAUACUGGAAAAGUUUACUCCAGCAAACAAAGAGAAGAGAAGAGAGAAGAGAAAGAAAAACUUAACAGCAGUAACGAAGUCCUAUACUACUGUUGUCCUACACUAAACUACUGCAACCAGUACUGAUGCAAGCUUAACAGCAGCAGCAAGUGCUAUACUACUGAUGUCC
rnacentral:lncRNA from 1 species